rnacentral:lncRNA from 1 species
UUUUUUUUUUUUUUUUUUGUCUUCGUUAAUUAAUAUCUCGCCAUCUCCGCCACACCAACUCUUCUGUAGUCUACCCCUUAAAGCCUCCCAACACCCCCCCACCCCCCCUCUUUUCCCCCACUCAAACUUGUAUAUAUAGUUACAUAUAUAUAAGUGUGGCCUUGGGUAAAUAAGAAGGUGUCUUUUUCUUGGAAAGUCUUCUUCUUCAUCAACUCUUUUUUCUGCACAUAUCCCUCAACAGUACUGCUCACACAUCACACACACACGCACACACACUGAACAUUAUGUGUGAUUAGACAGGCAUAUAUAUACAUAUAUAGCAGAAAAACGUUCCAAUUAUAUUGGAAUAAUGGGAUUUCUGAAAGAUGAAGGCGUGGUUUACAAGCCCGUUGACAGUGUUGAUCUUGGCCCUGACAGCAAGGAAGUUUAUCUCCGAGCCAAUGUUAAAGGUAUGCAUGAAACAUUGAAACCACUUACACUCCAUAAACUGUGUGUGUUUGUGUGUGUGCCCGUGAGUGUGUUGUGCUGUGUUUUUUUUUUUUAAUAAAAAAACUCUGUAUUUAUAAUGUUUUUGGGAUGUAAUUAUGACAAAUUAAAGAACUGAUGAAGGAUUUGGUAUCUGAUUGCUCUUGAUUGAUGAUAAAGAUUGAUCAAGAUAGAUGGAAUUGACUAGUAUGCAUGCACGUGCAUUGCAAAGGAUUGCAUUUUCUUUCCUUUAAUAUAAUAUGAAAUUAUGAACUGUGUGGUCUAAUGUGAAAAAUCCUAUAAAUGUUAGGGGCAAAUUUUUAUUUGUAAAAGUAUCUCUUUGAAAAUUUUCAAGUUUAUAAGGGACAAACUAGAAUUUUCCUCUUCCUGUCCUCCCUCCCUAACUUUUUCCGUGGUUUUGGCUGAUAAUGGGAUUAAUUAUCAAAAUUUCCACCUUACGUUGAAAUCUGUUCUAUUCUUUUUAUUUUUAUUUUUUUGAAAAAAGUCAGUUCUAUUUAUAUAAUUAUAUUGCUGAUAUAUAUGGUAAUCCCUCAAGCUAAUCAAGUGCUAGAAGCAAGUACAAUGUUGGGUGGUCCCUUUUUCCAGAGGAGGCUGGCGGCUCAAAUGAUGGAGCCUCAUGACCAAGUUACAACUGGAAAGGAAUUAGUUUACCAUUUUAUUUUUUGUCCAAAAUUUGCUGGUUUUUUUUCUAGGAAAAGAAAAAAGAGAAAACCCUUAAUUAAAACCAAGCCAUUGUGUAUCUCAAUCCCUUUUUUUUUUUUUGGCUUCAAAUUGUAACAUCAGAAUUUAGAAGAUGAACUUUGAAGGUGUAGAAUAGACUACCAUAGGGAUAUUCAGAUUUUGGUUAGGCCAAGAAUUGAUGUCCGAUUGAAAAGAAUACGUGUCAAUUUUGGCACGUUCUACAUUUUUCAAUACAAUGUCAAAAAGGCAUUUGGUAUUAUAAGUCAUUGACUAACAUUUUCAUACACUGUUUACAACAGCUAAUUUGUUUUGUUUAGUCUCCAAUUUGAAAUAAGAACUUAGUUUUUUUUUCUGUAUUUUUUUUGGGGAAAUAAGUUCUCAAUUAUUCAUCUGCAAUGUAAUCGAGUUCAAACUUCUUCUUCUUUUUUUUUUUUUUGUUUAAUUAAUUGUCACCUACUCUAAUAGCGUUCAAUUGACUCAAGUCUUUUUGCCAAAGGCCUUGUACCUUACUUCUGAUUGACUUUGUAUCAUUAUUGUGUAGCACCUCGAAUGGCUGGCUUUCUAGUUAAAGUUUUUGCUUGGCUCUUGGAGUCGAGAAUUUUUGGAGCUCUUAUGUUAUACAUCCUCAAGAAAAACAAUCUGAUUCAUAAGGUAUCACUUCUUUUCUUGAUUGGUUUUAGUAGCUAGCUCAAGUAUAUAAAAGUGUUAAUCUACUGACAAAAAAUAUUUUGUUGACUGACAAAAUAGUAAUUAAGUUGACUGAAUGGCUAAUCUUUCUGAAUCUCUCUUUGGAACUUCCUUCUAAGUUUUGUCAAGCAGAUUAUAUUAGACAAUUUCCAACAAUCUCAUUAAUAAAAUUCUUUAUUUUUUUAUCAAAUAAAAUUAAUUUUUACUGUGUUUUACAAUAAAUUAUGCCGGUCCUUAAAAUUUUAAAGUACAUUUUAACUCAUUAAUUCUUAACUUUAGAAGUCGGCCAAUUUACAGUGGACAGAAUAUCAUUUUGGUCCAUUAAAGUGGACAAAACCUGAAGUGAGAAAACUUUAAUUUAAAGAAAAGCAUAUCCAGAUACUUAAUAUUCUUUUUUUUUUCAUUAUAGUUAAUUACUUUGAAGGCUUUAUUGCACCUUCCCCCCCUAUAAUUAUGGGUGAGUUGCAGUUUACCCCGUUUGAGUCCGCGAAAUAUACAAACUACUCCUGAUGACUAAACGCUUCUAGACAUUUAACGGUCCAAAUGCUUCAUUAAUGUGUUGGACAAAUGUGUCUUUGCCUUAUUUGUUUUUCUAUUAAGUCUCACUUUCGUUUUCCUUUUCUCCUUUUUUCCUUUUUUUUAAACCUUUUUCCUCUUCAUUUUCUAAUGCCACUAAUGCCUUUUGUUUUGUCCUAAUAUGCAUAUAAUUUUUUGACUUGCUGUAGCUUACCCUCUCAUUCUUACUGUAGCUUGUGCCAUAUCUAUUUUGUAUACAUCACCAGCUUUUUUUCUUGUUGAAAACAUAAUUACUAAUUUAUUGGGAUGCAUUAAUUGUUAAUAAAAUAUAGAAAUUGCAUAAAGUAACUUUUCUAGUUUAUAAUAAAAAAAAUAAUUGAUUGGUCAUAACAUAGAAAUUUGAUAAAAUAUAGGGUUAACCACAAAAACUCCCCCUAAGGUAUACCACUUUUGCACUUUAACCCCUAACAUUAUUUUUUCUCACUUUAUGUCCUAAACCGUUAGUCAAUUCUAACAUUGUGUAAUGGUAAUGUCAAAAAGACAUUCAUACCCCUAACAGCUAACUAUGGUAAAUUUCCUUAAAGUAUAGUUUGUUUUGUGCUGUAUCCCAUAACAUCAUUUUUUUUUAUCAAUUUGUUUAUUUAUUAUAAAAAUCAUUAAUGAACUCCAAUAUUUGAUAACACCCAGACCUAAUAAUAAAAAAUAAAAAAGCAAAAAAAAUAAUAAAUAAUAAUAAUUUAUAUAUAUAUGGUUCUAGUUAAAUUUCAUUUCGUAAUUACACCUUUUUUUUAGAUUGAGGAGAAUAUCUUGCUAAUUUGAUUCAAUAGUGGGAAAAAGCAAACAAAAAAUAUUAUUAAAAAAUUAAUAUUUGAAAAAUAUUUUUAAAAAUCUAAAAAUGAUUGGAAUAUUGUCAGUUUCUCUUUAGAAAUGUGUAUAUAACUAAAAUUUUCUUUUAAUAGCUAUAGUUUUUUUUUAUAUAAAAGUAUACAUUUUUUUACUGAUAAUACUAAAAAAGAGAAACAUGGUUGAUUUGGAGUUCAAAAUUUUCAGAGUUUUUCCUUUAAUAUACCAUGCUUAGAUGCUAUUAAAAUUUAUUUGAAUUGCUAAAUUUUUCUAAAAAACUUUUUUAUCACAUGUAUGUUGAGUGGCUCAAAAUAUUAGAGUUAACUAAUGGUUUUAGAGAUGAAUAGACAAAUUGAAAGAAAAAUGAUAUUAGCGAAGAAAAUAUAAAAUAGCUAUACUUUAAAGGGGAUUUACUAUAAUUAACCCUUAGGGGUAUCAACAUCUUUUUGCAUUUCUGAUAUGCAAUGUUAGAGUUGACGAACGGUUUAGUAGAUAAAGUGAAAAAAAUAUAACGUUAGGGGAUAAGGUGCAAAACUGGUUAUACCUUAAGGGGGAGUUUUUAUAAUUAAUCCUAAAAUAUUUUUACUUCAUACGUAUAUUUAAUUUCUUCUACUUGUGAUAAUUAAAUAUUGUAACAAGAAAAAUAAAAAUAUACAUAAAUCAUGAAAAAGAAGAAAGAAAGAAGGAAAAAUAAGGAAAAAUUUCAAGUGAAAUAUACUACUGAAUAUUUAAUUUCUAUUUGUUUUAACAAUUAACCCAUAAUAGGAAUUACUUCUAUAAAUGGGCGUUACUCUUUCAUUUCUCAUGAUGAGUUAUCAUGAUUAACUAUUUUUCAGAUGAAAAUAAGAGCAUUUAAUUAAGUUUGAAAAGAAAAUCUUUAUAGGGAUAAAGAAGAAUGGAAGAAGAAAAAUGAAAGUAUUUGGUGCCACUAGGGUAAACUUGGUUAAGAAUUAAGUAUCAUAGGGUAUGAUUAUCUUUUCGCAAUCCCCGUACAAUGAAAAUAAAGUUACAUUUUUAUUUGUUGGUCAUCAUGGAUAAUAUGUAAUAUGUAAUUAAGCAUAUUCUGAAUGUUUUCUCUGCAAAAUCAAUACUGAUAGAUGCAUUGCAAAAUUCUCUUUAAUUUGGCCAACUUUUUUUUUUAUUAUUAUUUGGAAGCAAUCUAUUAGCUUAAGAAAGUAAGGUAAUUGUCAUUGCACUGGAAACUUUUAUUUGUGAAGGAUAUGUCAAGAAAGUGAAUAAUUAUUUGGGCAUUGUAAAACCAAAACUCUUGAUAUGUAUGGAUUAUACACUGAAAAGUGGAAAUACUAACUACACACAAGCUGUCUUAUUUGUUUAAGGCACAGUGAAAAUUCUUGGUUUUCUUGUCUUCUUUUGAAUACCCCAUUAUUUCGAAUAUAUUUGAUUUUACCUUAAAUACAUUCCAAUCAUCAGUUACUAUUUUAAGUUCAAUUUAUUUCACAUACAUCAUAGUUCAUCUCACAACAAUGCUACACAAUUAGUUUAAAAUAUUUUUCCAGAGAAUAUUGGAUCCAAACAAAUAUUAAAUCAUUUCGUAUUCUUUUCUCAUUGUUGGAGAUUUCACACCCCUUUCUUUUCUUUUGUAAGUUUGUCAAAAUAUCUUGCAUCACUUUAAACUUUUGAGUAGAAGCAUCAGUAAAUAUAGCCUUAUACUAAAAGACUUCUUGUUGCAUUGUGGUCCUUUUAGUUAGCUAACACAGGCCAGUAUUUUGCAGCUAGUUUCAUUUGCGGAGUUGCAAGAAUCACCUCUUUUUGUGCCAUUGCACCCUCAUGAAGGUUGGUACUUACAUGCAUUUUACUUUGCAUUGGAAUUAGUCCUUUAAGAUAGAAGAAAUGUAUAUGUCAAGAAAUACUGAAAGUGAUAUGCAAUGGUUCCAUUGCCCGUUAGUAUUUAGUCUGGUUUUGUUACUUUCGUGUCUAUCACAAGUGACAAAAUUAGGGGGAAUAAGGAGUAUGUAUACCUGUACACAUAGAAACCCUGAAAAGCUCUUUUUUGUAUCCUCUAAUCAUUCCAAUUUUCGUGGUCACAGUUAUUUGUUUGAAAGGAUGUGUACUUUUCACAUUAAACUGAAAGAAGCUGUAUGCUUGACUCUGAAUGCAAACUUUUCUGGCAGGGCAUGGUGAAGAAGAAAAAUGCACCAAGCCUGAUCAUCUUUCUCCUGUGGAACAAGUUCAAUUGGCUACUGAUUGUCUUCAAACUUCAGAGGAAAUGAAUAAAAUUAAUCCAAAACUUAGUUUUCAACGCUGGACAAUACUGGAUUAUUCAAGAAGAUAUAUGUCUCAAGAAGUAACUCCUGUCAUGGUAUUAUUGGAUCAUCCUUUUCACAACUGUCAAUAUGAAUUUCUUGUAUAGUCAGUCAGAAAAACAAAUCUCAAGUCCAUUUUCUCUGUCUCUAAUUUUACUCCAGCAUUCUUCUUAAUUGUCAUCAUGUAUAUAAUACUCAUCCGUUCAAUUCUAGGUAAUUCAUUGUUUCUUUCUUUCAGGUAGCAAAGAAGUUUAUAGCAGCUGUGAAUGAAUCAUCCAAGCCUUUACGACCUAUGUCAUUCUUUAUUGAUUUCAAUCCUGAAGAUAUAUUACAACAAGCUACCGAAUCAACUCAUCGGUAUGAACGAGGUAUGCAUUCUUGUCUGUAUUCGAAAGGUGAACAUGGUUUAUUGCCACAUAUUGCAAUGUCUUGAUGUCUUCAGAGUUUCAAGGAUUGCAGAUUUUUAUGCAGUAGGAAAAUUGACUGGCUGGAAUCCAGAAAAGAUGUUUCUGUCCAUUGUUAAUUAAUAUCAGGAUUAUAUCAAAGUUCUUGUACUGUAACUGUGUAGUUCAAUUUUUAUUUUCUUGACAAAAUUGUUCGCCUUUACAGAAAUUUCAGUUAUACAAGUAAGCACUGCCACAGACUUAUGCCCCGAAGUUUAAAAAUUAACAAUUUUGUUCUAAUCAAACUUUUUCUGUUUCAACACCUUAUGCUUUCACUGCAUUUUUGUUUUGGCAAUAAUUUUCAUCAUAGCAGAAGCCCCUUUGGAUGAGCAGCUAAAUAUAUAUUCUGAUUGAGUCUUUCACUAAUGAAAUCUGGUAUAACUGGUUAGAAUUGUCAGGCAAAUUUCCUUAUGAUACUAAUUUCAAACUACAAUAUCAUUUGGUGAUUAUACAGGUUAUCGGAUCCUUCAUUUCUGCAGAAAAAUUGAGCAUAAGAAGCUUUGUUACAUACUCUUACUGUUCAUGAUUUGUAAAACUGGUUCAUUGAUUUGAAUGUAUGAGUACUGAAACAAAGUCCUGUCUUUGAAUUUUUGGUAAAUUUUACCUUUUUAUUGCGAGUAACUUCUGUUUCAGGUGAGCCAAUAUCUGUUCUAGAUGGAGUUCUGAUUGCCAUUAAAGAUGAAAUAGAUUGUCUACCAUAUCCAACCACAGGUUUGUCUUGUCUCCGCAUCUGACUUUUAACCAUUAGAGAAAUGUUAUAAACUUUAUUCCUGAAAAUUAUGAUUGAAUGAGCAUUACUCAAGCUUUGAUUUCAUUGACAAAAUGGCCCUUAUAGGAGGUACAAAGUGGCUGCACAAAGUAAGACCGUGCAUUGAAGAUGCCUGCUGUGUUAAACGCCUAAGGUCAUGUGGUGCCAUUCUGGUCGGGAAAACAAACAUGCAUGAGCUUGGAGCUGGAACCAGUGGGAUAAAUCCUCAUUAUGGGUAAGUACAAAAUCCCAUAUUUCACUCAUUAUAGAAAUCUGGCUUUACUUGUUUUAGUUGUUACCUUGAAUCAAUAUUGAUUUUCUUGAUUGAUAAAAAUAGUCUUCCUUUUUUCCUUUUUGAAAUUAGGAAAUUUGCUGAUUUUGUAUGAUUGAUAUAGGACAACACGAAAUCCAUAUGACAGCAGCAGAAUUGCUGGUGGUUCUUCUAGUGGAUCUGCUGCUGUGGUAUGUGCAGGACUAUGCCCUGUUGCUCUUGGUGUUGAUGGAGGAGGUAAAACUUGAUCAUGUUCUACUUCUCUUUUUUCUUACUAAAAAUUACUAUAGGUAUCCACAAUUUUAACAAUCCAACUGCCUGAAAGAUUUGAAAUAAGACGCCAUUAGAUAUUAGCCAUGUCUAAUCAAAUUUAAGCAGCAACUAUCUACUCGGCUCUUACUAGUUUUUACGAUGCUAAGUUGUCCUACUUGUAGCUUGGCGCACUUCUUAAGAUAGAAAAUUUUGUAAAAAUGAAAGAUCCCAACAAAGGCAUGGUCAAUUUAAAACGUUGAAAGGGGAAAUAAAAAAUACAUAUUGGUUCUAAAUUACAGAGCCUGCUUCAGCUAAUACUACCUGUUCCACCCUAGACUUAUGUGUAAGCGCAAAGAAAAGCUAAAAAACCAAGUAAAGGUUUCCUGGGAAGAGUAGACAAUUGAUAUCAAGAAAAUGCAGUUGAUUAUGCCCCUCAAAAUGUGAACCAUCUUGAAUAUUCAAAAAUGGUGCUAUGUGGCUCUAAAGUAUUAACUCUUAAGAACCAAAUAUCCUAGCAAUAUGAUCAGCAUAGAAAAAAUGUUUGAAAUAAUUAAAACCAUCAACUAUUUCAUUAUUCCCAUGACAUUGUAAUAUCAAUAGAGACUUUACCAGUAUCAAGUCUAUAGCCUUGCGUUUCUGCCAAUAUUUAUUCAGAUGCCCAUGGUGCAAAUCUUAACUCACUUAUUUAAGCUGUAUCGACACUUUUAGAGUUGAUUUAUUGAAUCCUUUCCUCAAUUAGAUUCUCUCAGAUGUCACCCUUAGCAGUCCAGAUUGCUCCAUUGCAUUCUGCUUUUGAUGUUCUUAUCCUCUACUUUUAACACUGGAUAUUAUUUUACAGUCUCGUGAACCAGCAAACGUCAUGCUCUUUUGUUUGAAUAGAUCAUUUUCUUUGCUGUAUGGAAAAGAACCAGUAUAUAUAUGUAUUUCACACCAUAGAUAUUCUCUAUCUGUGUCAAAUGAGUUGCUAAGAAGGGAGACAUCAAAAUUCAAUGAAUUUGAUCCUAUGUUCUACCUUGCUUUAGCCACAUCUUGUAGUGAUUCAACUUUCAUAUCAUUCUAGAAAAUGUUACUGGUAUGGAGAUUAAUCAUUUCUUCUUUUGUUCCAGUUUUUGUGGGAACUGAAAUUUUAUGUCUUUCAUUCCAGUUGUAUACAGUUUAUUAUUACAUCAGUCUGUUUGUUUGUCAUCUGUCUUAGAAUGUUCUUCUUCUUUUUGAAAUUAAUGUAAGUUUUUGUGUCACUUUCUCUGCUUGAUUAGGAUCCGUACGAAUGCCGGCUGCUCUCUGCGGUGUUGUUGGUCUCAAGCCAACAUUUGGACGUGUACCACACUCGGGGUAUUUUCUAUUUAUCAUAUCUGUUGACCUCAUCAAUUUCUCAGAAAAUUUGGUUUCAUGAUAGUUGAUCCAAAAUGUGAUUUCAGUGUUCUCCCUCUGAACUGGACAGUUGGGAUGGUUGGGAUACUAACUGGUACAAUUGAAGAUGCACUUAUAGUGUUAGUAAUCUUAAUCUCCUCUUUCCAAGUCAGAUUACAUUCACUCCCAUGAACACUUUCUUUUUUUUUUUAAAUGACUUUGAAUGCCAAUUUACAAUUUCCAGGUAUGGAGCUAUCAGUGGCCCAAUAUCAUCAGAUCAAUCUGCUCAAGUAAUGGUAUGUGGAGAUAUUACUUCACAUUCAGACGCGGAGGUUAAGCUCUGCAUUGUUUUCUGAUUCGCAACAAGUUUGUUAAUUCAGCAAAACAAGUGACCAUUUGAUGGACAAUUUAGUCAGAUCAACUGAAUUUUGACCUUUUUGGUUCUUCUUUCUUUUGGAGAAUGUACCAGUCUAAAGUAUGUUUUCCAUUACUUAAGGCACCAGAGUGCAGAUCUGACAUCAAACUGGCAAAAUAUGGAGAGGUUUGUUUUCCACGAAUUUUAUUAACAGUAGAUCAAUUUUUUUUCUGUCUUAAGGUGGAUGUUACUUUUAUAAAUUAUCUUCCACAUCCAGAAGUCAUGAUUAAUUGCUUAUGUUAUUACUCAUGGUUUCUUGAUUUAGUGGUUCAAUGACUGCACUGAUGACAUAAGAGUCUGCUGUUCAAAUGCUUUGGCCAAAUUAUUUGAUGUCUAUGGUUGGAAGGUACUGAUAAUGCACUGCUCUUUACAUAAGUGUGAGUGUUUAUUAUGCUUGCAUAUAAAGGCGCUCAAUCUUUCAUACUCUACAUUAUCUUUCUUCCAAAGACUUCUACAAAUGAUUCCAAUGUAUCCCAUAUGAAAUCACAGAUGAAGAGUUGAUAUAUCAUAAAGCCGCUACUGUUUUCUUCAUAUUUGAUCAUAUUAAUUUCAGAGUUUAAAUGCUAGCUUCCUGACAUAUUCAAGCUUUCUUCUCUGCCAGACGAUAGAGGUUACCAUGCCAGAGAUAGAGGUGAUGCGUCUAGCACAUUACCUGACCAUUGGCUCUGAAUGUAGUACCUCAAUUGCUUGUCAUCUGGAAAAGUUGUACGUAUUUUCAAUUAUUAAUAUGCCAUUUGUAUCACUACUCAUUUGAUAUAAUGCUAAAUAUGCAAGGCUGACUUUUGGGAUCAAUCCUAUCAGGGAUAUGGCAGAAUUGGGAUGGGAUGCUAGGGUAGCACUUUCCGUCUAUGGUGCCUUCAACAGCAGGGAGUACUUGAACGCCCAGAUGAUUAGGUAAUCCAACCUUACUGUUUAAAUCUAAAUUGGAUGAUAACUGUUAUUCAUAUCAUCAAAAUUGUUUAAUAAUAGAUGAGCAUGUUACCAAAUUUUUUUAGACUCAUUGUGAAGAUUUAUGCUUCUUAAUCUAUCAAAAUCCUGAAAAGCCAAUAGGCAUGUUUUGUGUCAGCUUCCCUCCUACGGUAUCAAGGUCUUUAGUGGCUGCAAAAAUUCUUUCUUUAAGAGGUAUCAGACCUUGACUAGAAUGGAAUAUCCUAAUAGUUGUGGAAUUUUGAGCUUAUAAAACCUGUGGUAAUUUUUCUUUUAUCAUAGAUUUAGCCUGACUAUGAAAAAAGUAGGGGUUUAUCACUUUAAUGUUCAACCUGCCUGGUCAUACCUUAUGUCUCUAAGUUAAGAUAGAUUAAGAAGAUGAUGUUAUGAUAGUUUGACAAUAAAGAGAAAGGCUCCUUAUUAAGGUUGAAAAAAAUGUAUCUGCAGUACACUCAGAUAUUGAGGAUAAGCAGUUGAACUAACUUAAGCAAUCCCCUGUUGCUAGCUCUUCUUGUUUUGUUGGUGGUGUUGGUCCCGUGCUGGUUGAUAAAGCAAUUUGAAGCAUUGUGUAAAUUAUAGCAAGACUAUGUUCUAGUGAUUGUUUAGUUGAUCAAAUAAACAAGGUUAAAUUUUUUGAAUUAUAGAAAGCAAAUUUUGUUAACAUCAAAUAGAUCCUAGUAGUCAGAUUAUAUAAAGGUAACUGAAUGGAAGGAAGACUAGUUAUAAAAUCCAAAUCAGUCAUUCUCUUGGGGUGUGACUGACUGAUACUUGAAUAGCAUAUCAUAUGGAGCAUGAAACAGUUCAUAUUGUUUUAGCUUUUUUGGAAUAAUUUGAACUGUGGAUUUCAAACAAUAUUGCUUUUCCGGACAGAUUCAAUCAGGAAAACAAUUGGAACACACUCUGCAGUAUAUGUUAAAGCAAAUCACUCCAUUACUAUAGAUUUCAUAACUUAAGCCAAGAGAUAUAAAUUUAUAGAACUACUCUAUACAGGGUUUAUAUUGCAAGUAUGAAGAACUACUCUGACUUAAAAAAAUGUCAAGUACAAAGAUGUCUGUGGAUCAAAUGUCAGUUGGCAGCUAAGAGGAACUAUAUAUACAUUAUACAUUGUGGUGCAUCUUGAAUCAGCGAAGUGAAUAUUCUUCCCAGGAGUGCCAUUUAAGUUUCUCAGGGAAAGAGUGUAUUUAUUCUUGUCCGAUACAGUGGAAAGCAUUGAACCAUGCACUGGAAAUGCUAUGGUUAUGCCCACACAAGUUAUUUAUGUUCAUUCUAUGAAAGCAUUGUAUACCUCAUCUAGCUCAACUUGAUCACAACUCGUUGCCUGAAAAACCAAAGAAAUUAUGUCAACGCAGCAGUUCUCUGUUUGAAGUACAGCUCAGAUCAACUGCAUGUUGUUUUAUUUUUAUUUUUUCACAAAAUCAAUUCUAGAGUGAUGAAAUAUCAUUGAUGUCUUCUUCCAUAGAGGAACAUGAUUUCUUACGUGCUCUAAUAAUGUGGUUAUAAAGUGGCGUACAGUAAAUGUGGUAACUAGCCUUGCUGAAUGUAGAUUUGAAGGCUUGCCAUGAAUUUAUACUGUGAUCUUGUUCAGCAGCCUUGUGCAGUAAAAAAUCAUAAAUGCCUUUGCCUGUUCAUUGGGUGUAUUUGAUCCCUCCCUCUUCUUCUUUCACAUGCCAGCUAUCUUCAAGAUAAAAUCCCAUUUUUCUAUCUAGACUAAACCUUUUCAGUUUCUUGCGAACCAUGUGCUCCUGGAUAACUCUGUGGUACUAACGGCUUCCAUCUGUCAUUGUGCCCUAUUAGAGAUUGUCUUCAGAGAAGCACAAACACAUUAGACUACCAGACUGAUGAUUUAACAGUCUGGAAACUUCUGCCAUCUUUCAAAAUUGACUUUACGAAUGGAAUUGGUGGCAGAGUAACACCAUUAGGAUCCCGUUGCUAGGUAGGCAUUUCACAAAAUUUGACCGACAAGAUAUCAGACAAUAGGCUCUAUUUGUUGCAGAUAACAUGGUGCAGUGAAACUAUUGCCCACAAUCUUUGGAAAUUGUCGGAUGUAUAUUAUUUUUCCUUUUUGAAACAUGCUUACCCUAUAAAUCACAUUGGAAAGGAGGAAAUGGACACAUAGGAUUAAAGCAGAUAAUUGAAGUGUACUUGGAAAAAUCAUGGACUCUGACAAAUCCUCAACAUGUUGACACAGAUUUUGACCCUUUGUUCUUUUAGUUGUAAACUACGCUUUCCACAACAUUAUUCUUGGUUGAACCUAUAAAAUCCUUUUAAGGACUGCUUCUUGAGGAUUUCAGUUUGUUCCCACUUCCCAAUUCAGUCUUGUUCUUAAAACUAGUCUCUUUUAGGCUAUUUGCUCUUGCCCAUGCUCUUUCAUAACCAAGAGGUAUCCACUCCUGUCAAGGAGCUUCCCUUGUUCCUUCCUGGACUAGUGUUUCUUGUGGUACAUAAACAAGCUUGUCACUAGAUAAUGCUUUGUUAGACAGAUCAGGAAAUGUAGAGUCAAACCUCUAAUUGACAUAUUUAUUCACCUUAUAAAGCUUUAAUUUUCGGUGAACCUUGAAUUCAACUAAAAUGUAAGUCCCUUUACUGUACUUUAAUUUUUUCCCCAAUAGGAUUCGUCUAGUUCUUAGGACCUAUUCCUUCUUGUUUGCUGGAGUUUCAGAAUAAUUCAUCUGCCUUUCACCAUGUAGCAAGAGAUCUAUGUUUGUAACAUUUAGGCAAAAUUUUUGCUCAGGCUCCCAUGGGAAAAAAGCGGUAGCCCAUAAUAAUAGAUACUUGCGAGUGACUAUUUAAAGUAUUUGUACUGAAUUGUCUUUCACUAUCUACAGGAACCGGCAGCUGCAGUUUUACAUGAAAAUAUUUGCCAAGGCAGAUGUCAUAGUUACACCGACAACUGGGUACAUUUUUCAUUUGAAAAGAAGCUAUGCUCUUUUUUGUUUCUAAGCAGCUAAUUAUGCAGAUAUAAAAGAAGAAGUUUUUGUGCUAAAAUUCUUAUGACUUCCAUAUUAUCUAUGUACAUGUCCUUCAACAUCCAUUCAUCUGGCAGUGUAACAGCAUAUCCAAUAAAGGAUGAUGUUUUGAAGACUGGAGAGUUGGAUUACAUAAAUGGAGGUUUGAAGUGACUGACUUACACUUGAAUCCAAUUUCUUUGUUAUGUUUCGUUAUUUGAUCAUCCAUUUUGCAUUCUUACUACUGUAAUAGGCAUGAAUUGGCUAAUUUUCUAUCCAAAAAAGAAAAGGGGGCAGAAAUCUUAUCUUGGACUUUAUCAUUUCAGCCGCACUAGUUCGAUAUCAGAUAGCAGGGAACUUCUUGGGAUUGCCUGCAGUGACUGUUCCAGUAUGUAUUGAAAUGUUUUUUUUUGUGCCAUCAUUCCAAAUUCAUCAAUUCUUCUUUAUAGGCAUUUCAACAGAGUUUCUUUUGUAUAGGUUGGAUAUGAUAAAUCAGGACUGCCAAUUGGUCUUCAAUUUAUCGGGAAGCCAUGGUCCGAAUCUCUGUUAAUCCAUGUAGCCUUCGCAAUGCAAGUAAGAUUUCAUUCUUAUUUUGGUCUAGCAUAAUGUUGAUAAACAUUUUCAGCUAAGUUACUUGUGUAAAUCGCAGCUCUCUAUUUGACGUUUUAAAUUCUAUUCGUACUUUUCUUGUUCAACAACAGACAAUGAAUGGUUUUACUACCCCUUGAAUGUUCAUUUACUCUGAAGUUAUGCUCUUUGUAAUCAUGUGAGACUUUUAUUGGUUUUCAGGCACUAUGCAUAUCAGAUUACAGAAGGCCAGAAAUUUUCUAUGAUUUGCUAAGCAAGGAUUAAGUCAAUCUUGACAGAAUUCUACAUGUACUGGCCUUCUCAUUUCCAGGAGAUUAACGAAGUAUUACCAAGAUAAAAGCAGUAAAGGACAGGUUAAUUAGUAUCUAUCUCUUCUAGAGUAAAGGACAGAUAAAUCAAUGUUCUUUGGUAUGCCUGUGAUAUAUAUGCAUUUAUUGUGUCCUGUUUUUAUACAUUUCCAAGUCUUUUUCUUACAUGUAAUGCUACUUUUUGUCACUGUUUUGAAGUAUAUCUACCAAAUGUUUAUCUUAAAACUGGAUGGUAAUGCGUACUUUAUUGAAUAGAAAUGUGCACUUUAAUAAGCAGCAAUGUGCAUUAACCAAGUAGUGAUUAUAGGGGCUUCAUUUGUUAUAAAUUCAUAAUCUUAGAAUGUAUUAUAAGGUGGCUUAAAGGCAAUGAUUUUUAGAAGAAAUUAUUAAAUCACUAGCCAUUUGGAUUCAUAAAAUAAGAAUAAUAAUGGAGUGUCUGAAGCUAAAUAUGGAGUUCUAAUGUCAGUGGCUCAUUCUAAUUCACCUAUUUUCCUCAUUUCAAAUUCCUAAAACUUGUUAGUUUCAAAAACUCAUUUUCCCCAAAAAUCCCAAUUUCGAGGUUUACUUGAAGAUGCAUAAUGCUCAAGUUCAACAGCCUAAUUCCAGUGGGCGAUGAAAGACUUGUUCCUUAAAAAUUAUAAAUAGAGAAAAAGAAUUUUGAAUCAAAAUAGAAAAAAAGAAAGAACCCAAAUUAGAUACCCACUCACUUGUCUCACUUGUCUAGUGCUCACAUAUUGCCUAUGAGGGCAAUCAUAUUAGAGUUCUUGGUCGAAAUUUUGGAGAUUUCACCCCUAAGAAUAAUAUAUGCAAUGAGUUUUUUUUUUUUUGAUAAAAGCAAAUUUCAUUAAUAGAUUGCUAAAAAUCAUCCAACACGAUUUAAACAUGCUCUAAAAAAUACAGAUAUGCAAUUUUACAGAUACAAUAAAUCUAAAAAAUUAUCAACAGAUUUGAAAAAUACAAGAAAUUUCACAAUUGUCUUCUAAUAGAUAAAUCACUAUAGUUACCUUCUGUAUAUGUUGCAAUCGGCAGAUGUGUUAAUCAAUGGUUUUAAACCCUACUUAUAAUGAUGAGAUCUGUCAAAAUAAUAGACUCAGGAUCCAAAAAAAAAAUUCAGAUCUAACAACCAGAUUUGAAAUAAAUUUUGAUCUAACAAUAAAAUAAGAAAAAAAAUAAAACUCCAUAAGAAUCACUAAAAGAAUAGAAAAUUCUCGCUAGGAAUCAUAGGAGAUGCCGCGCCCCAUUUUUUAAAAUAAAAAUUAUGUGUUAUAAAAAAAUGAAUUUUUAAAAAAUGAAUUUUUUGAUUAGUUUUGAGUGUAUUGAAAAAAUGAGUUUUUGAAAAAUAAAAGAAAAGGAGGGCCUAAAAUGGGACUUAAAAGUGGGACGAUUUUGACCUAAAAUAAUAUUCUAAAAAGGGUCUUUAAAAAAAAAAAUAGGAGUUGCCACUUGGUAUUGAAUUUAGGUAUACCAAGUCACCCAAAAACAUGUUUUUUAAUAAAAAAAAAAUAAACAAGGCCCUUUUUAAAUGACUUCAGGUCUUCGAAAAAUAAGAGAAAAGAAUUCGAGAGUCACGGUUGAAGAAAGGGAAGGCAAAGAUUUGAUCUAAGGCAUCCUUUCAACCUAGCCAAACCCAGUUACGUGAUUUAGUCAAAAAAUUUCUUAAUCUAACCUAUAAAACUUAUCAUAUUUAGAUGUUACUACAUCGAUGCAAACCUAGACCUAAUGGAUAUCAGAAGGUCGAAAUAUCUCUUCAGAGUUUAAUUGAUACAAAUCACAUUGAUUGUGACGCCCAAAAUGAUCCUUAGAAGAGAUCACGAAUAUGCAAAGAUGAGACUCGAAAAAAGGAAGAAUAAUAAAUAUACAUGACCUAAAGGAGGAGAAUGCAACAUAACGGGUAUGGGGGGAUUAAGAUUUGUGACUUUAAUUUUUCUUUUUUAUAGAGAAGAUACGAGCGUGCUAAGGUUAAGAAACCAUACUCGUCCAUUUCCCAUAUUUGAAGGGUGACUCUCCUAAUUUAAUCAAACAAAUGUGCUAACCUACUUCUAUUUUCCUAAAUGGAAUGCAAGUCUAAAUGUUAUGUUUCACACAUAUAGGGAGAAUGGAGAUAAUAUAUAGAGGAAAUAUCAUGCAAGAUGAGAAGAGAUCCUAAAAAUGAGAAAUAUGUAUGAAAUGCGAUGAAUAUCAUGCAAAAAGUGUGAAUCUAGCGCGGAAACGGCCUAAAGGGUCUAGUAUUGGACUAUCCCAUUUUUACAAAUCUUCACUAGCGUUGAACUAGUAAGAAGUCUCGGAGAAAGGCCACAAUUGGCGUUGGAGUGGUGUGUUGAAGUCAUGCAUUUAUUAUAACUAAAUAAAUCAUAUCAAAUAUAAUCAAAACAAGUAAACACAUAAUGCAUGUAGAGCACAUAACACAUAAGCAUAAUUUCUAGAUGCAAAACCCUAAUGAAAGUGAGUAAACACAUAAGUACACAAGCAUGAAGCAUGCAAGCACCCAAGCAAAUAAAUGCAAAUAAGAGCGCCCUAACUACAAUCUAAGGGGGGAAUUCUAAAAAAUAAUAACCUAACUAUUACAUUCAUCUAACCAAAUACAUUUUUAACAAAAACUAAAAUCUAUCUAUUACAUAGGCUAGCUAAAUACAUGUCUUGAACACCUAUUUAUUACAACUUGGCAUUUUAAUGCCUCUCAGAUAAUGAUCAAAAUUAAAUAAAACAAAUGAAACUUAAAAAUGAAUAAGAAUGACUAAUUAAAAGAAAAAGCACUCAAAACAUGCAAUUACACAUAAAAAUACAUUGGAGCACAUAAAAGAGUUUAAAAUAAUAAAAGAGAUUACCUUCCUUAAAGUGGUGAUUAAAUGGGGUGAAAUUUAUCUUAUUUAUGCACCAACAAUCAACAAAAUAAUCAAGGCAUCAAUUUAAUUAUAAAACAAAUGGAAAUAAUCAUGAAAUUUACCAAUUAAAGCACUUGAAUGAAGUACAAUUAACAAUUAAAGAAGAAAAGUAACUUAUAUUUAAGAAAUCAAAACUGCUAGGGACCUAAUUGCAAAAUUUAAGAAAGUUUUUAGGGUUAAAUUAUAAUUAUUAAAAAUUAGAGUGUCAAAAUGAAAAAAAUAAAGUUUAAGGAACUAUUUGCAAAUAAGUUAGAGACCUAAUCAAAAGAAAUCGAAAGUUUUUAGGAUCAUAGUGUAAUUACUGAAAAGCCUAGGGACUGAUCACAAAUUUUGUUACCAGAUUACCUGAGCAAAUAGGCCUCUAGGCCAUGUCUCUUAUUUUUUGGGCCAAAACCUACCAAGCCCAUCGAAAAGUUCAAGGAAAAUGCACAGGCCAAUCCAUAAUCUUACCCAAACAAAACCAACAAAAAAGGAUGGGCUUUUACCCCCUAAGCCCAAGCCAAAAUCCAAAAAUGAACCAGACUUUUCUAUCAAAACCCAACCAAAUCAUUAAAUAAUUUACCAAAACCUAAUAAGAUAAUAAAUCAACUAAAACAAAUUAAGGUUUAAUUAUACCCCAAAUCACAGGAAUAACAUGCUUAGACAUGUACUUAAAAUAUGAAAAAGAGGAUUAAAACUCAAUAGAGACAAGAUUGGUUCAAUUACAGAAACAUUUGGACUAUUUUGUAAUUACUUAGAAGUCAGGGGUCAAAAUGCAGUUUAUAAAAGUUUCAUGCAAAUCAGAAUCGAAGCUUUCUUCAUUCCAUCUUCUGCAACUUCAGAAGCUUUCUGCAACUUUGCUUCUUCUUUCAACAAACACAACUAAUGCCCCCCAACCCAACAUCAAAAACUUGGUUUUGUCAAACAGAUCAUGCAACCAUGUUAUCGGCACUCAAUCUUACUUCGUUCAUGUCAAGAUUACACCAAAAUCAAAACCAGAAGAACACAUCAAAGAAGGGACAACAAGAACAACAGUAGCUAACUUUUGACAGGUUUAGUAAGGAUCUGAACUCGUGUGAAAGGAAAGGAACAAAUAAAUUUACCUCCUAACGUUCUAUGAUGCCAAAAUGAACGUGGAAUGGUCGAAGAAAAUGCCUCUGAAAGCGAGAUUUUGCACCACCCAACUCCUGCUGAUGAAGGUCCAAGAGCUGGUGACGGGCGGAAUGGAGCUGAAAUUUGGGGGUAGUGGAGAUGAUUUUUGGAGAAGUUUUCUAAACAAAAGUUACACUACUACAAGUUUAGAUAGUGUAGAUGACAAAAGAAUGCCUAAACGACUUAGAUUAGGGAUAGAAUUUUGGUAGAAAAUUCAACAGCUCUCCAACCCUGGCUCAAGUUCCUCAUCAUAAUUUUCUGCACUUUUUUUUUCUCUUUUCUCCCUCGAUUUUCUCUCUUUUCUUGCUGUUGUUUUCUUCGUCAGCCGCCUCCCUCUUUUCUCUUGUUGUUCUAGGGCUGCAUCUUAUCCUUUUUAUAGAGAAAUCCAACCUCCAAACCCUCAUCUCAAGGGUUGUCAUGAAACCCAUUUUUGUGGCAUUUUUGAGAGCCAUUUGAUCAAACUUCCAGGUGUCAAAACCCAAGAUUAGAUAUUUAGUACUUGCUUAAACGUGUAGGGCAACGAAAUUAGCAACAAAAAGGACCCAAAAAUUGCUCAAAAAUCUUUGGCCAGCUCUUGUACUGAAAAUUCUGGUUCUGGAGCUCGCGUGGGUGAAUGCUGAAUAUAUAUUACAAAAAAACUGACUUUCAUUGAUUUUUAUUUUCUUUUCUUUCUUUUCUCUUUUUUCUUUUCCUUUUCCUUUUUUUUUAUUUUUCUAAAGUGAUUUUUCUCAAGAAAUAGAAAAUAAAUAAAAAUUUAACUAAAAUGAACAAAAAUAGUAAUAAAAUGAAGAAAAUAAAAUAGUAAAAUUUUGGCGUCUACAAGAGAAAUAGAAAACUCUCGUUAAUAAAAUUUAGGAGAGACUAUUAGAAAAACAAAAUAAACGAAAUUCAUGGGAGGAAGACCAUGGUGUGAUCUCCCUACCUAGGGAAGACCUUUGUAAAGAGGAGAAGAAACAGAGAAAAGUUGGAGAAGAGGAGUGGUAAAUUAAGAGAAGAGGAAGAGUUGAAUAUCCUUAACAGUGAACUUUCGAAUAUUUGAGCACAUAAUUGACUUGGAAGUUGCACAUCUAUUGGCAUUUGAUCACAAAAAAAAAAGCCAAUUUCAAAACCAAAAAUAAGUUUUGCUACGUUGUCAAUGCAACUAAGUUGACUUAUUAGAAAAUUUAAGGAUUAAUUUUAAAAACCUCUCGCUUAAUCUGAGGUCUCUGACCUGCCUUGAAAAUUUGAAAAUAUUACCGAUCUCUCUUAUUUCUAGUUUUUUUUUUUUAUAAUAGUUCAAAUUAAGUUAGGAAAAGCAACAUUAAAAUUAUUUUGAGGAAUGAGAAGAUUGUUUAUUCCAAAAUUGCCCCUUUAGAUUUACACUAGGGUUGUAUUGGUACAAACCACACAAAUUUGGAUAUUGAUAAAAGGUAGAAAACAACGAUCAAACUUUUGUCAUACUCUGCAAUUUAUCAGGCAUCGAACUUAUAUAUUUCACUUGUGGGCCAUUAUUCCACAUUUUUCGUAAAAGCAAUUUAGUUAUACUGAGGUUAAAUUAUUGUUACUUUAUUAUUAAAGGGCCUAAACUGCUUUAGUCAAAACCCUUUCAUAAUAAUCCUAAGGCGUGAGGCUAGAAUAGUCAUUUUGCCACGGCCGAUAUAUGCAACGGGUUCCAAAUGCUGACAAUGGGAGGUAAUUAAUAUUUUCAGAACUUCAGAGAUGGUUAGUGACAUUUUAAAACUUUGGGGGAGUAUCCAAAAAAUUUAAUCAAUUAUGGAUCAUCUUGGUUUUCAUUCUUACUUCGUAAAUAUAUGUGCUUACAUUUUUUUUUUCCCUUUUGUGACCAUCAAGUUAGGAAUAAAUAUUUCACGAAUUGAAGUAUAUCUUCAUUAAUCUCAUACCAAGAUCCAAAUCUGAAUCAACUUAGACUUGAGAGGUAGUUCCUGAUAAAAAUUCUACUAAAAAAAUCCACAUUUGUGCAGCUUUAGCCCCAUUGUUCUCAAGGUCUCAAGAAAAUGAAAUCUCACAUGCCCGAGACGCUCUAGCAAUGUUGGAUAUUUGUUCGAUUGUCUUGCUCUAAGAAGCUUCCAUGUAGUGAUCACUCGCUUUACAUGUGUCCACGGAUUUCAGGGAUUGGUCAUUUCUUCAAGAAAUACUUGGUACAAGGCUCGAUGGGAUUGUGUUUUGUACAGUUCUGUCCGAUUGCUAUACAUGUGUAAAUUUUUGGUGUAUAAAUAUUAUAAUGUUGUAUAAAUAUAUGUCAAGUAUUUUAUUUUAUGUACAUCAUUUUUACUCUAAAUACAAUAAUGUAAUAUAAUUGUACAUCAAAUAAUAUAAAAGGUACAAUCUCGGACCCAACCACUCGAAACCCAACCACUCCGACAAUCUUUUUCCAAAUAGUUGAUCAUGUCAACUUCAACUUCCAGGCCUCUGAAAUUGUUCGAAGGAAAUUGAAAUGAGGCACGAUGAAAAGCAUUUGAGCAACAUUUUAGGUUCACUCCAGGUGCUGACCAAAUCUGAGUUUACAUUAGAUUCCCUACUGCUGCUGAUGCAUAAGGAAUCUUUUGUAUUUUCUUUUUUUUUUUAAAUAUUCUUAGGAUAUUGGUCAAGACUAAACUCAUCUCUUUCAGUCACAAGGGUGUCACCUGAUUUGUAACUUUAUAUGCCAUUUUUUUAAGAGUAUUUUUUAUUUAACCCUUUUGUGAUAGUUUCAAAACACGCCGAAAUCAAUCCCGGUGUGUCUGUAUGUCUAAAACAAAAAAUGCAUUACCAAAAUCUUUCAUUUUUAAUUAAAAAUCUCUCGAUUUCAUGCAAUAGUCCUAUAUCAUUGUUGGCAAGUAAAAUGUUAUCAACAUACAAUAUUACAAAAAUAUACUUAUUCCCAUAGAAUUUAUGAUAGAUAUAAUCAUCAACUAAAUUCGUCUCAAAAUCAAAUAAGAUGAUCACUUGAUGAAAUUUAUAAUACCAUUGUCAAGAUGCUUGCUUGAAACCAUAAAUAAAUUUUUUAAAUUUGUAAAUCAUAUUUUUUGGAUCUUCCAAUAUAAAUUUUUCUGAUUGCACCAUGUAGAUCGUCUCAUUAAUGUUACCAUUGAGAAACGCUGUCUUUAUAUCUAUCUGGUUUAACUCAAGAUUAAAAUACGUCACUAAUGCCAUAAUAAUUCUAAAAGUGUUCUUUGAAAAGAUCGGAGAGAAGAUUUCUUUAUAGUCGAUACCUUCCUUUUAUAUAAAACUCUUAGCGACACGACGAGUUUUGUAUCUUUGCACAUUAUUUUUCGAAUUUCUCUUGGUUCUGUUUGGAUUAGUUAUUUUUUGAGGUGUUUUUCAAAAACUUUACUGUAGUUGUGUAUAUGAAAAACUUUUACUGUAGUUAUUUUUUGGAUUGUUUUUAAAGAUAUUUUUAAAAUAUAUUUUUGACGGCCUGUUUGGAAGCUCAGUUUUUUCACAAGUUUGUAUGCUACUAGUUUUUUAACAACUUUUGCUACAGGAACCCAAAAAACUUAUCAAAAUUUUUAACCUACACACUUCAAAAUACCUAAAACUUACAAAAAAAAAAAAAAUUCCUUCCCAGCCUUUUUUUCUUCUUCUUCCUCCCCCAUCCCAACCCACCACCACCUCCAUCGCCAACCACCACCUUCGGCGCCGGAGUCUUUUUUUUUUUUUUUUGCCUUUCUCCCUCUCCUCCUCAUCCUCCCCCUUUACCCAGUUUGUAUGACCCCUUUUUUUCCCUCCCUCUCCCUUUCCCCAACUCCUCCCCCACCACCCUUCCCCUUCCCCUCUAGCCGAUCUAGAUCGCACCAGGGUCAUUUCUUUGCACCAGAUUGUGGGGAAGGGAGGGUGCCGGGGGAGGGGGAGGGGAAGGCUGAAAAUUGCAACAAAAAAAAAAAAAAAGUUUCUAAUGGGCCUUGAUUGCUGGGCAAGGGAAGAGGGAGGGGGAAGGACAGAGGGGAGGAGGGUAGGAGAUGGGGGAGAGAAAAUGCAAAAAAAAAAAAAAAAAAAAAAUUCUGCUACGGAUGGAGACAGUGGAACAACUUCAUACUGGCUGUGGUGCGUAGGGCAUUCUUUUCACGGCACUGUUUGCAAGGAAGGAGUGUGUGAAUGAGGUGUACCCGGGCCAACCAGGGACAGGGAGGCCAUACGGACUGCUGAUGGGCGGUGGUGGAAGGUUAAUGGCAGCUCAUCUUUGUGCAGAUUGUAGUGAUCACUGUUUGGGUGGGUAUUACCAUGGGAACGUUUGUUCUGGAUACUGGGCAAACUUGAUGCAGUUUUGGGAGAGGAACAGGGGAGAAAAGGGGGAAGGGGGAAGGGAAAGGGAGAAGAAGCGGGAAGGGAGGGAAGAAAAGAAAAAAAGAAAAAGAAAGAAAAAAAAUGAAAAGGCAAAAAAGUUUUUCUACAACUUCUACAGUGAUUUACAGUAAAAUUUUAGACAAACUUUCAAAAAACUCAGGUUCCAAACAGGGCCUAAGUAUUUUUAUAAUUUACAAGUUUUUUUGGAAUUUUUUAAAAAAUUUUUACACGACCUACCACUAUCUCCUCCCUUUUCCUCUCCCUCUCUCCUUUCUCUUCCUCUCCUCCACCCUCUAUUUCCUCCCCUUCCUCCUCCUCCCUCUUUCCUUUCCCUUCUCUCUUCUCCCCCCUCCCCUCCUUCCCCCCAACCCCAAACUCCUCUCCUGCUCGCAGGUUGUAACUGCAACUUUAGCCACCAUUCUAACCACAACCUUUUUGAUCGCGGCUUCUGGUUGCAAUCAAAUUUGAUUGUGACUAGGAAGGUUGCGGUCAGUUAAAGAGAAAGGGAAAGAAAAAAGGAGGAAGGAGAAGGAGAGAGAGGAGGAGGAGGAGAGAGGAAGGAAAGAUGGGCGGAGAGAGAGAGGAGAGAGAAGAGAGGGUCGUGGGUGUGGGGGUGGUGACGGUAAGGUGGUAGCCGUGGUGGUGGAGAGUGAUGGGUAGUUGUGUAUUUUUUUAUAUAUUUGGAGUUGUUUUUAAUAUAUUGUAUGGAUAUGGUAUUUUUGGAGUUAUUUUUAUUUGUGUAUUACUGUAGCGUUGUAGAUGAAAAAAUUAUUUUUUAAAAAAAUUUGAAUCCAAACAGAGCGUUUAGUUUUAAAUAUUCAUUUACAACCAAUGAAUUUCACUUCUUCUGGCAAUGGGACAAGAUCCCAAAUAUCAUUAUUUUUCAUGGAUUUAAUCUCUUCACUCAUGGUAUCGAUCCAUUUUUGAGAAUUUGAACUUUUUAUGAUUUGACGGAAGUUGAUUGGAUCAUCUUUCAUCAAUCUAGUAUCAUUCUCACGUUUUUGAAAAAAAUAAUGUAAUCAUCUGGCACUGCACUUUUUUUUUCUAGUGAAUUUUCUUAAUGACAUUGGUUCUUGAAGAGGAAAAAUUUGUUCUUUUAUAACAGUUUGUUAUUCGAUAUUAUCUUGAUUUAUUAUGUCAUGAUCAGGAAUGGGAUCCUGAACAAGAUCAAUGACACAUGUGAAAAUGUUGGCAUAUUCCUCUUCAACGACAAGGUUCCUUACUAUAUUUUCUCCCCCAAAUUCGAUAUUCUCAAAGAAUCGAGCAUUUUCUAUCUCAAAAAUUGAUUUAAUCGUGGGAUCAUAAAACUUGUAACUCCUGGAUCUUUCAGAAUAUCUAAUAAAAUAAUAACUAACGGUCCUUGAAUCCAAUUUCUUUUUAUUUGGCCUAUAAGGUCUUACCUCAAGUGGACAUUUGCAAAUAUGUAAAUCUUUCAAACUGAACUUUUUUCCUGUCCAAAAUUCAUAAAGAAUUUUGUUAGUUGCUUUAGUUGAAAGUCUAUUAAAAAUAUAUGCUGCAGUCUUAAAUGCUUCUCCUCAGAAUGAUUCUGGUAAGGUAGAAUGACAUAUCAUACUCCUUACCAUGUUACAACUGCACAAUUUUGUCUAUUUCGUCUAUUUCUAAGCGUUCUAUUUCGUCUUUUAACUGGACAAUUUAUAAUGGGUGAACCCAGUAUGGUAUACUGUAGGAUGAUAUCGUAUUUCUCUAAAUAUUUAGCAAAUGGCCCUGGACAUUGCUCACCUGAAUCGUCAUAUCUGUCAUAGUACUCACCACCACGGUCAGAUCUGAUACUUUUGAUUCUUUUGUUAAGUUGGUUUUCAACUUCAGAUUUGAAAAUUUUAAAAACGUCCAGCGACUGCAAUUUUUCAACAACGAGAUAUAUAUAGUCAUAUCUUAAAGAAUCGUUUAUGAACGUUAUAAAAUAUUAUUGAUCAUUCUAAACAAAUGUAGAAAAUGAUCCACAAAUAUCUGUAUAUAUAAGUUUUAAGACGACCAAUAACCUAUUGGUUUCAAAUCUCCUUUUAUUGGUUUGUUUCUCCUUUAUACAGUUAGCACAAUCAUCAAAAUCUGUAAAAUUCAGGGGGUCGAGAAUUUCAUUUCACACAAAUCUUUUCAUUCUCCAUUUGGAUAUAUGACCCAAUCUCUUGUACCAUAAUGCAGUCGAAUUCUCAUUGAUUAAUUUUUUCCUUUACUCCUCUAAUACUCAAAUUUAGAGAUUCAUUAAAUGAAACAAUUGUAUCAAUUAAAUAUAGAUUAUUAUAGUGCGUGUCAUGCCCCAUUUUUUAAAAUAAAAUUUGAUGUGUUAAAAAAAUGGAUUUUGAUUAAUUUUUUAUUUUUGAAAAAUAUAAUUAUGGUGUUAAAAAAUGUAUUUAUUGAUUUUAUAAAUAGAAACAAUGAGUUUUUUAUUUCAUAAAAUAAAUAAAGAAAAAGAACCUAAAAUGAGACUUAAAAAGUGCGACGAUUUGGUCCCAAAUUAAUAGUCUAAAAAGAAUUUUUAAGAAAAAAUAGGAGUCGCCACUUGAUAUCGAGUUUAGGUGUACUAAAUCACUUAAAAAUGUAUUUUUGAUAAAAAAAAAAAGAUAAAAUCCUUUUUAGAUGACUCCAAGUUUUUGAAAAUAAGAUAAAAGAAUUCAAGGGUUAUGGUUGAAAAAAGGGAAUGCAAAGAUUUGAUAGAAUCAAAUCUAAAGCACCGUUUCAACCUAACCAAGGCUAGAGGUGAGAGUUAGUAAAAAAUUUUCUUGAUCUAACCUAUAAAACUUAUCACAUUUGGAUAUUUCUACAUAGAUACAAAUCUAGAUCUAAAGGAUAUCGAGAAUGUCACAAUAUAUCUUUAAAGUUUAAUUGGUGCAAAUCACAUUAAUUGUGAUGUCUAAAAUGAUUCUUAGAAUAGGUCACGAAUAUGCAAAAGAUGAGACUCGAAAAAAAAAAGAAUUAUAAUAUAUAAAUAUACAUUACUUAAAUGAGAUUCAUGCAACAUAACGGGUACUGGGACUAAGAUUCGUGACUUAAUUUUUCUUUUUAUAGAGGGGAUGAGAGCGUACUAAGGCUAAUGAAACCAUACUCAUUCUUUUCCCAUAUUUAAAGGGUGACUCUCUAACUUAGUCAAGUGAACGGAUUAGCCUACUUCUAAUUUCCUAAAUAAAAUGCAAGUUUAAAUGUUAUGUUUUGCGCACAUAGGGUUAAGAGAGGUAGUAGAUAGAGGAAACAUCAUAUAAAAUGAGAAAAUAUCCUAGAAAUGAGUAACAUGUAUCAACUGAGAUAAAUGUCGCGCAAAAAAUGUGAAUGUAGCGCGAAAUGGCCUAACGAAUUUAGCAUUAGACUAUCCCAUUUCUACAAGUUUUCACUUAAAAAUGAACUAGCGAGAAAUCGAGGAGAAGGCCACAACUAGCAUUGAACUAAUGAGGUGACGUCAUGCAUUUAUUAUAACUAAAUAAAUUAUAUAAGACAUAAUUAAAGCAAGUAAACACAUAAUGCACAUAGAAUACAUAACACAUAAGCAUAAUUUUUAAAUCAAAACCCUAGUAAAAAUGAAUAAACACGUAAGUACACAAGCAUGCAAGCACAAGCAAAAGCAAAUAAACGCAAAUAAAAGCCUACCUAUUAUAUUUGGAGCCCUCACUAUAAUCUAAGGGAAAAUUGUAAAAAAAUAGAGUAAUCUAACUAUUACAUUUAUCUAACUAAUUAUAUUUUUGGCAAAACUAAAACCUAUCUAUUACAUAAUCUAACUAAAUACAUGUCUUGAGCAUCUAUCUAUUACAAAUUGGCAUUUAAAUGUCUCUCAAAUAAUCAUCAAAAAUUAAAUAGAAUAAAUACAACUUAAAAUGAGUAAUUAAAAGAAAAAGCACUCAAAAUAUAUAAAUACACACAUAAAAAACACAUAAUAACACAUAAGAGGAUUUGAAAUAAUAAAAGAAAGUACCUCCCUUGAAGUUGUGGUUAAAUGGGGUACAAUUUGCUCUAUUUAUAUUCCAAAAUCAAUAAAAUGGUCAAGACACCAAUUAAAUUAACAAAUAAAUGAUAAAGAAAUGGAAAUAACCAUGAAAUCUACCAAUUAACGCAUUUAAAUGAAGUAUAAAUAACAAUUAAAGAAGAAAAACAACUUAUAUUUAAGAAAUCAAACUGUUAGGGACUUAAUUACAAAAAUUGAUAAAAUAUUUAGGGUAGUAAUAUAAUUAUUACAAAGAUUAGGGGUCAGAAACAAAGAAAAAUAAAGUUUAGGAACAAAAUCAUAAUUAAAUUAGGGAUCUAAUUGAAAAAAUCUAAAAUUUUUAUACUCGAAAGACCAAGGACUGGAAUGCAAUUUUCGUUUCUGGUCUUGCAAGAUACAAAGGCUAAUGGGCCAUCUUCAACAUUUCUUUGGGUCAAAAGCCAUUUAGCCCAACCAAAGGCCUCAAGAACAAGGAUGGGCUAGGCCUAUCAUCUUGCUAAGCGAAAUCCAUCCAACAAAGUUGGGCUAUUACCUUCCCAAGACCCAGUUUCAAUCCAAUCAAAAUAAACCAACAACCCUUUCCCUAAAUCCAAACAAAAAAUAACCCUUAACCCAAACUAACUUAUUUUAUUAAAACCCAAUAAAGUAAAAAUCUACCAAAAAUGCUAAGCCUUAAUUAUGUGGUAAAUCCCAGAAUUAAUCUACCAAAAACACACUUAAAAUAUGAAAGAGAAGAUUAAAACUUAAAAGGGGGGAAAUUGGUUCAAUCUGCAAAAGUUUUGGGCCAUAGUGUAACUGUUCAAAAGUUGAGGGGACAGAAUGCAAAUUUUCCAGAUGAUUCAUGCAAGCUAUUCGAAGCCAUGUGCAGCUUUCUAUAUUGCUGCUACAAGAAAAAACAGCAACAUUUCAGACCAAACACAAUCAUCAAAACCAACGCUUGAUCUUGCAUAAAAGGAAAAAUAAAACCUUUUUCAUAUAACACAAAGAUUAGGUCAAUAUUGCAGCAAUUAAACACACGAUUCAAAGCCCAUCACAAGAUUAUGCAACUCAAGUUUCAACUAAGAGAAACGGCAAGAUAACGAGAAGAAAAUGGAGAUCUUGAUUCAUAGUUGCAAGAUCAGCCUCAUGAUUCUUUCAUUUCCCAUCUCAAACACAUCAAAGACUACCAAAACUACUAAUCACCAUGUAUGUCUAGAUAUCGAAAUUAAAUUAAUUUCAGAACAAACCAAAUUAAGAAAUAUACAUUUUUUAGCACGUCAAGCGUGAUAGUUAGUGCAAUGUUUCUUUUUAUACCCUUCAACUCCACAGAAGAAAUAAUUAUUCUUUCUCUAAUCAACUGAUUUCUUUUUUGUUUCUUUUGUGAUGCCGUACCUGCAGUUUCUUUAUUCUUCUUUCUCUUAAGUCCCUUGCUUUUAAUAUUGGUGGUUGAGACCAUAUGAGUAUUCUCUGUCUGAUCUUACUUCAAUUUUUUCUCUUCCCCUACACAGUAUGAGAUGAAUUCAUUUAGAGAUCAAGUCUCUUUUUUGAUAGUUCUAACUCACUUUAAAUGGACUAAACUGUGUAGGAAGAGAUAUUAAAACAAAAUGCACUAGUAACUCUUCAGAUGAGACAUCUCUAUGAUGUAUUUUCUAAUAUUUCCUUUACCACUAUAUUUCAUUGAACUAUGCGCAUUAAGAGCGUACUAAUUUCAAUCUUUUCGUUCUUAACAAACCUUUUUUCAAUGUCGUGAAGAAACUCCUUAGUGGUAACUGUCGUUUCUGACAUUAUUCCUUUGAAUACUUUUGGAACGGCCUUUUAAUGAUCAUUAAACAUAAGUUAUUUGAUCUCCCCCACCUUUCCUUAUCCCUCUUUCCGUUAAAGGUAUUUGUAUCUGUAAGAGGUGGAGGAGAAUCAACCUUUAACGCAAGGUCGAAAUCCAUUACUCCAAAUACUAUCAAGAGAUUUUUUUUCCAAAACUUGAAAUUUGUGUUAUUCAGUAUAGGAAUAUUAUUAAUAUUGGUAGUAAUAUUUGUAAGAUCAUUCGCAACUGAACAGAAAAUAUAAAAUAAUUAAAACAAACUCACAUACGUCAAAAUAAUAAUAAAUUCAAAUAAAGGUAACCACAUCUCAAGAUACUGAUGUUUCAUUAAUAUUUUAUUUUUGGACAAAAAUAUUAACUUCUAAAUGAUAUUUUGGUGCAGUAAUAAACACUGACAAUAAUAACAUAUCGAAAAAUAAAUUUUUCUUUAGACCAAUUUAUAAUUCAUAUGUAAAAAUCUAAAUAAUCAUCAUGUGUUUAUUAUCACAAGGGCAUAUGCAAUUUUAUUAAAUAUUGAUCUUCCUUUGGACCGAUCAAUAUUUAUAAAAUUACAAGUACUCAAUUAGUUAUAUUCUAAAAUAAAUUAAUUUUCACAAAGAGGCCAUUUUGGUGAUAUAUUGUUUCAAUUAAUUUAUUCUAAAAUAUAUAUAAUCAUACCAAUAUUCAAAAUUAAAAUUACACAAAAAUUUUGAUCAAGAUCAACUUUGGUCAACUCUGGUCAAAACGUGAUCAAAUAUAAUCAAACCAGUCAAUCAGUCAAAUCUGGUCAAACCAAUCAAUUAUGGUCAAAUAUAGUCAAACUAGUCAAAUGGGUCAAAACUUAUUGGAUUAUAAGUCCAUAUCCAUAAUUUGACCCAAAUUUAUCAUUCAAAUCCAGAAUUUUUUUUUGAAGUCUAUAAAUACCUUAUAAGAUUAUAUACUUAGUGGGCCAACCUUAUGAAUUUUGUAAGAUUUAAAUGUUUUGUUUAACUUUAUUAAGACUCACUCAAAUUAGAAAAACUCUAAUUUUCUUAAUAUAUAAUAAGUUACAUAUCAUGCAGGUCUUACCAAAUAUUAUGUUAAUCAAAACUCUUAAAUGAAUAAACUAAUAAAACAAGUUAGGAAAAAGACAAACAACUUCUCGAAACUAGAAAUCAAGUUAAUUUAUAUCAUGAAAAGUAUAUGGGUCCCACAUAUCAUGACUUGUGUCAACAUAUCAAGAGAUUCACAAAAUUUAACAAUCAAGUAAGACAAACACACGUGAUCCCGAACUAUAUGUACUUGAACCAUGUGCUAACUAAUCAUAACAAACAAAGCAAAUAUGUGUCCUUGAUUGUGCAUCAUGCUUAUUGAUUUCGACAAACCCAUAGAUUCAUAUGUAACCAAAAGCAAAGAAUUGAACAAUACAAAUUUACGAAAAACAUAAGCAAACAAAUUACAUUAAAAUCCCAAUUCAAGAUUGUCAACCACCUCACAAUCAAAAUAAAAAUAAUUCUAGUUAAAAAAACAUGAAAACUAUGAAUUAUUUACAAUCAACUUAUUUCCUAAUAAUCAACCUUAUCCUACUCUGACACCACUUGUUGGAUGGGUAGCUUAUGGUAACUUUAAAUGAAAACUAUCAUCUAUUAAACUCAAAAUUUUUAUGGCGAUUAUUAAAAAAUAAAUUAACAAUAAAAUUGUGGAAGUGUACUUAGAUUCAUGUUGACAAACUGGUACUUGAAUCUCUAGAGAUUUUGGGGUGAUCUUUCAGGUAACACGUAUUUGCUAUUCCUUUGAGAGAACAUUUUAAUUUCUCUUUAAUAUCUUUUUUGACGAUGGGAUAUCAGGAAAGAGUUAUUUUAUGGUACUAGAAAUGCGACAAUAAGAAUCCGUAUGACUUGGGGAUCAUAACUCUAUUCAUAGAUAACAUUCCUGUUACCUUUUGGAUUCCUAUUUCAGUUCAUCAUAAAAGUAGAAAUUACUCUUAAAUUUCUACACAUUAAAGGCAUAUAUCCUAUUAGAUACAGUUAAAUCCAAAUCAUAAUUGAUUAUUUUAAUUGGAUUUAACCUUAUUUGACAGUCUAUAGCACAUAAUUAUUUACAUAUAAGUGCAGCGUUGGAUUAAGGAUCCAACACUUGUGCCUUUAAUAAUCUACCAAUUACUGCUGGUAGUCCUGGGUGAUUGUCAUGCGCAUCCGCUAUCUGUAUAUUCAAUAGUUGAGAUAUCUCUGCUUUGGUGCUUUGAGGAGUAUUAGGACUGAACGCAGUGGCUGUUUUAUCAAAAUUCAUGCACUGGCCAGAAGCUCUCUCAUAUAUUUGCAGAAUAUGUUGGAAAUUCCUUGCCUCUUCUAGAAUGGCCUUUCCGAACAGAAGUGUAUGGUCCCUAAAAAGCAAGUGAGAAAUGAAGGAAGCUUUACUAUUAAUGGUGAUUCCGUGCAAUUUAAAUUCUUGAAGACAGAGCUUCCCCGCAUAUUAAAAAUAAAUACAGAGACAAAGGGUCACCUUGUCUAAAACCUCUUUGCAAUAGGACCAAACUGAGUACUACUAAGUAAAAAGGAAAACGUGAUAGAAGAGAUACAUUUAAAAAUCAAAGAGAUAAAAUUAUGGGCAAAUUAUUUAUUACCCCUUGUAGUUUUAUAUAAUGCUAGAUGACCUUUUUAAGGUUUUAAAAUAGCCACAUUACCUCCCUAUGCCUUUUAUGUAAAGUGAAAAAUGAACGGAAUACACUAUCCAUUACGACGUUUAUGUCAAACACGUGUGAUAAAAUCUUAAUAUCAAUAUAACGCUUUUAUGAUUUGUAUAAAUAUCCAUAUUACCUUCCUGUGAUUUUUGCAUUUAUUCACGUAAUUUUCCUCUGCUUUUACAUAAGGUAAUUAAGCCAUCGAUUGAUUUAUCAUUUAAGUAAGGGUAUUAUUGGUAUUUUAACUAAUGAUGUCACAUGCAUAGUUAUUAAAACCAACCCGAACAUCAACCCGACAAGAGGACCGGGUUGACGGGUCAGUGGUUCAACCGGUGGAUCACUAGUUGAACCGUUGGAUCACAAUAUAUAAUAAAAAAAUAUAUAAUAUAAUUAAAUAAACAUGUAAAUUAUAAUAUAAGUACAGAGAUUCUUAAAUCUCAACAAGUUAUAACCUGUUCAUAGUUCAUAGUUCAUAAUUCAUUUCACACACAUAAUCCAUAACCAUAUGUGAUCAACAAUUCAUGAAUUCAAACUACCAAAGCGAACAAAAGGCUGUCGUAAUAUGAUCUCUAUUCUUUAGUUCAAUGAUAUGCAACUUCUUACUAUUAUUCUGCUUGUGCAUUUUGCUGUGUUUCUUUCACCUAAUGUUGACGUUUGUUUGGAAGUGGAAAAAUUCACAAGUUUUUUAAGUCUUGAUUGCCCUUAUAUCUUUUACAAGUAUGGUCAGCAACCAUACUACUUUUGAUUCUAAACAUGCAAGCUAUACUCCUCUUCUCUUGCUAAGCUUUACUUGCUGGCGUGGCCCUAUUCUUGUUUGGUUUUGUUGGGAAAUUGGAUGCAGAGGAAGAAGAAAUAAAUAAUCACCCAAAAAGAAAGAAGAAACAAAAUAUUGCCUGCGGUCAGAGAAUUAAGAGAGACUUAACUCCUUAAGAGAAUAGGGAGAGAGAGGAACAAACUCCACAAGAGGAUUGAGAGGAACAAAGCUUCCUGGAAACGGCAACUUCGGUAGCAGUGGCAGCUUUGGUGGCAGCGGCAGUGGCAGCUUCGAGUACCUGGAGCUUCGGUGGUAGCGGCAGCGGCAACUUCAAGUACCUGGAGCUUCGGUGGCCGCGGCAGCUUCAGUAGUAGCGGCGGCUUCCUUGAAGAAUUUCGAACUUCCAAGUUCCAAUUGCUUGCCUCAAACUCUCAGAGCAACUAGCAAAGCAAAGGAAAGAAAAAUUGAUCAAAGCUGCCAGUGCCGACAAAACAAUGGCCGAAUGCCUAAAUGCUCAAAAAGUUCUCAAUUUGUUCUCACUUCUCAGAGAAACAAAGAAGAAAACAAUCCCUAAAUGCCUAAAUCCCCAAUGACGGCCAAAUGCCCGAUUGCCUUUUCAUUCUUCAAUUUUUCUGAUUAUCUCUUCUAUUUGGCUAAAAAGACGAUAAUGCCCAUGUAGUAUGAACGGUCAAAAUAAAAAAAUUGGAUAAAACGAUAACUUCAAAAAAAUUGCCAAAACCCACCAGGUUUAUCAAUAACCGCCAGUUCUAGCGGUUCUCUGGUUAAACCGUCCGGGUCGAAUGGGUCCAGGCGGGUUCUUUACAACUCCGAUCUAACUAGGAAACCAGUCCGGUUUCAUGACCGGGCCACUGGUUUGACCGGUCCGACCGUCGGGCCGGACCGGGUUUAAUAACUAUGGUCACACGGGUUAUUUUCUAUUAAGUUUUCACUUUACAUAAAAGUAUAAGAGGGUGAAAUGGACAUUUUAAGAUGAUAGGGGGCCAUAUGGCAAUAGAUAAAAUCAUAGGGGGAUUAUAUGUAAUUUACAUUAAAUUAUUGGCAGAACCAAGAGCACUCAUGACCUUAGUGAGAAAAUUCCAUUCUACCCUAUCAAAGGUUUUAUAGUGCAGUUUUUAUUGCUUUUUUAGUUGUGAUCACUUAAGUAAUAAAGGAAUUUAAAUAGCAUCGAAAAUUGAUUCAUUUUCCUUAUGAGAUCAACACUCGAAUAUGCCCUAUACUUGUACUCAUAUAUGAUCUACAUACUUGCAGUAAUGGAAGUUUGAGUAUAAUUAAAACUUUAUAUUAAUUAUCAUCUCAUGUUUUGUCAACUUUAGUCCCCUUUAAUUAAAAUUGAUUCAUUUUCCCUAUGAGAACGACACUCGAAUAUGCCCUAUACUCAUAAUCAUAUAUGAUAUAUAUACUUGCAGUAAUGGAAGUUUGAGUAUAAUUAAAACUUUAUAUUAAUUAUCAUCUCAUGUUUUGUCAACUUUAGUCCCCUUUAAUUAUACACUAAACUAACUAAAGUUGCAUUUGGAUUGAACGACAAAUUUGAAAUCCUCUCAUAUCCUUCUAAGUUGUAUGGAUGACUUGAGAGGUAUUUGAAUUUAUCCAUCAGUUAUUUUAAAUAAAUAGUGGUGUUACAAAUUCAAAUAUGUUGAAGCAAACUAAAAGAAUUUGAGAGAAUUUAAAUUUUUUUUUUGUCAAAUCUCUCUAUCCAAUCGCAACCUAAGAGAAAACCUACUAAAAAAGAAUACCACAUUUUAUGACUUAUCCCAAAAACCUUCCCAUUUGUAGGCUUUUAAGUAUCUAUCUAUCAACGCAUAACCAAUAAAAUAAUCAACUGACUGAAAAGUAAGAAAAGGAGAAAAAACGCUUGAAGGUUAGCAAUUGUAACCACAAGUUUUCUGGAACUGCAGGCGAGUGCAAAUAUGGAGAGAAACGAACAAAUGUGUGGAUUGAUUAAUGGAAAGUGAUCGUGCAUAAAUUGACCAAAGGUUUACUUAAGACACACAUGAAAAAAUCAAGCAAUUACUUGGUAUCGAUAUUAUAGGUGAACACCCUUUUUUGUUGCUUGUUAAGAGACCUUACGUCUCUCCCUUGUAACCAAAAAAAAAACAAAGAAAAGAAAAAAAAGAACCAUUCCAGUUGAUAUUAAAGGAGUCUCCAAACACGGCUUUUCUAACCCAAGAAAGACCUACUAGACCUGGGUUAAGUUUAUCGGGUUCAACGGAGGCGGUUGCAAUUUGGCCAAUUCAUAAGGGUACAAAUUGGUUUGUUUCUUUAAUUUCAGCACUUGGGAUCCUCGGUGACAUGUUUUCUAUGCCAACCCAAUCCACCUAUAAUAUUGUGCCAAGUGUCCUGUUAUUAUUUACACUCGUGUUAAACCAAACUAAGUUGAAUUAUUAGAAAAUUAAAGUGUAAAUAAUAACAAGGCACUUGGCGCAAUACUAUAGGUGGCAUUGAAUUGGCAUAGAAAAACAUGUCACCGAGGAUUCCAAGUGUUAAUUUCAGUGGUCUAUAAACAGCUUCAUGGUCAAACACUUCUUCCCCACCAUGUCAAGUGUCAACUGCCUGACAAAGAGCUUCAUCAUGCUACAUUUUGUCUAAACCGCUUAGGCGGUUUUAUUUUCUUCAUUUGCGUCCUGCAUUGGGUCAUACAGAUUAAAGUUUAAACUUAUGGUACAAAAUUAUACAACAUGAUACAUCAAUUCAUAUUAAUCAAUCAGAGGAGGGCUCUUAAAAUUCUCUCCACUGCCAGAUUCAGGAUUCAAAUCUUGAGUUUGACAAUUGAGUGCGAAAAAGGUGUUGAGAGGGGAGGGGAGCGGAUUAAAAAAAAUGAUACAUUGAUUGAUGCGAAAUGUUGGCCUUAGUCAUUUUACCCGCAAAACUAAUGGUCAAACAUAACAAAAUUAAUUAAUUCAAGUGAAAAAAUAUGUUUAGCGCUUAAAAUUAUUAUCACUUUAUUCCCAUAGACUGUAGCCUCAUUAUCACUUUACUCCUUAGAGUUAUGUUUUUGGGAAUUUAUCUCACAAUUAAACCAAUUUAGCAAGUUAAAAAAAUUUUUAGAAAAAAGUACCCUCCUCAUUGUAUAAUAAAGCAAUAAAAAAUUUAGAAUGGCUUUACUCCUUAUUAGUAUCAAGAAAAAAAGUCAAAACAUUAAUCUCUUUCUUCUUGACAAUCUUAUUAAUAUUGAAAAAAAAAAAGAAAUAUAGGGAGAGAGAGAGAGAGAGAGAGAGAGAGUUCUUAAUUCUAAUUCCGAUGACGUUAAAAUAAUACAAUUAGGAUUCUUCCUUAUUUUUCUUAAUUUUUUCUUUGCAAAAUCUAAUUUUUUUUGUCUCCUUCGCUCUUAUCUCUUUUCCUUUUCAUAGUAUUAAUAAGUGUGAAAAAAGAAAUUUGUGAAAAUCUUUUUAUUUUUAUGUUUUUAGAACUCUUAGAGUAAUAAAGGAGAAAAAUAACCAUUCAAUUUUUUUUUAUUUUUAGUUAUAUAUAAAAACGGUAAAUAUAUUUAAAAAUUUUUGAACAUACUAGUUAGAUUAACGAUGGGAUAAAAUGCCUAAAAAAUAAUGUUAGAGAGUACAGUGAUUGUAUCACUACAAUUUAAAGGGAUAAAGUGAUAAUAAUUAUAUAAUAAGUGUAAAUUUUAUAUACACUAACAGUGUAUAUACUAUCACCUUUAGAUUCAUGAUACAUAUGCAAAAUUUGGAUUUCAAAUUCAAAUUUUACAUAUUUGUUAUUCAUCUAAGACUGGUAAUGUAUACACUGUCAGUGUAAAAAAGAUUAAUCUAUAUAGUAAUGCUAUAAAAUAGAAGGGUAUUUUUGUUCAAAAUUUGUUAACAUGUUGAAUUGAAUUAUUUUUUAGGAUGAAAUGACUAAAAGAUAAUGUUACAGGAUAAAUUGAUAGUAAUAAUAUAAUUUAAGGGGAUAAUGUGAUAAUAACUUAUUUAGUUGUGAAGUACAAAUUCGUUUAACGUGCCACAUCAUUCAAUUGCUGACUAUUCUUUACCUUAUUAGGACAAGGGACAGGAAUGGUUGCAGGUGUAACCGUUCCUGGCGGUUUUGGUCAUUUUCAACAGUGCAUAACUUUGGUUCCACACGGCGUAACUUUAUUUGUACAACGUAUAACUUUAGUACAAAAUUUUGCGGGCCACACACAUGUUGUGAAAAUCGAUGUACAACUAGUGAUAUGGACCGCACAUUUUUUUUGGCCAAAAUCUGGUCGUAAACAGUUCAGGAGCGGUCAUCAGAAUGACCGCUUCUGCCCCUCUUCCACCUUAUUAUUUGUGCGUAGACUAGUAGAGUAUACCUAGGAAUAUUCUUUAAUACCUGGUUUAGAUGCACGCACAUGUGUUUCACGCAUCUAAGAAUUUCCAUUCCUUUUUAUAGUAAACAAAAUGAAACAUCAAUCUAUCACCUCAAUUAUGCAUGUCAAGCCUAUUAAAUUUAGUUAAAUCCAAUGUUAGACCUAAAUUCUUAUGGGUUUGAAAAAGUAAAUUCAAACCCAAAUCCUCAUAGGUUUGGAUAUCUAAUAAUAUCCCUAGACAUUUUUCUAAACAUGCAGAAUUAAGUAAAAAUAUUUUUAAAAUACAUAAAAUUUAAAAUAACAUAAAUGCCAUUCAACUUUUUGUUUAUAGAAGGAAACCAAAAAAAAGGACACGUAAUAAAUAGUAGGGUUAUGUGGCUUUUUUUAGAUUAUGAACAUAUCCUUUAAUCUAAUAGUCAUUAAGUUUUACUAUAUUCGAUCCAAUGGUCAUAUAAUAUUAGAUUAUUUUAUAAAUUUAUUGGUACGUACAUGCAUACAUAUUAUUAUUUAUACAUGGAUUGGGAUAAGGUAUGAUUGAUUUGAGCAUGGAUUAUAAAAAAUCGAACUCUACCGAGACGCGUGACUCUCUUACAAAGUUUGGAUUUAUGUAGGAUAUGGAUCAUGUGCAUACAUAUAUGUAUGACUCUUUUAGGUUUUGAAUGUAUCCUUUAAUCUAACAAUUAUGAAAAUAGAUAGAUAGAAUACAACAAAUAUGCCUACUACUUGCACUUUAACAAGUUAGAUUACUAAAAAAUUUUAUAAAAUUUAAAUAUAAAAACUUAUUUUAAAAAAAAACUCAUUCAAGCGCCGGUCAAAAUGAAUAUUGAUGGUGCCUUCAACAAGACAAGGCAGAAGUAAUUCGCACAAGAAAAGCAUUAAGUGAGAAAUCAUGGCAGCCAUAGCGGAGAAAUUAUGUCGUAACCAUGAUCCAGGGACUUGUCCGAAGCUAUGAUUUUAGAUUUAGGGUACGUUUGAUAAAACUAAAAUAUGAAAACUAAAAUCUGAAAUUUAAAAUCUAAAUUUAUUGAAUUAUUGAAUUGUUAAGUAUUAAAUCUAAUAUAUUUGAAUGUAUAUCACAUUCAGUGUUAAAUGAAUAAUUUAUCACUUAAUUUUGAGAACAAAUUUUGCCUAGAAAAUUCAGUGGCACUUGAUUAAUUCAAGUGUUCAAUUUUUUAUUAUAAAACGAUCUAAAUAUAUUAAGAUCUGAAUCCAUUAAAUUUAAAUGUUGAGCUGAAUUAUCAAACAAGGCCUUAGUGUAUGACUUGUCUUAAAAAAAAAGUUCUCUUCCUUCUUUUUUCUUUUUUAACGUAAAAGGUAAAUUUUAUUAAUCAAUAAUAAAGCAACAAAUACUGCUCAAUCAUUGUAGAGUUAUGAUUUCAACAAGUAAACUAGCAAAGAAUCCCUCUCCAACUCGACCGCAUCAUCCCUGUACCAGUUUGAACUGCCAAAUAAAUUACAUGAUGUAAGAAAUAUAUUACAAUGAGUAGAAAAUACUUGUUUGGCCCUCAAAAUGUAGAAAUAGUAUAAAAUGCGGAGUUGGCUUAGGCUUAUAUAAUUAACGAAUGACAUAAGGUCCAGUGACUUAAGGAACCUAGAAUCUAAAUAUAAUCACCAGAGUGGAUGUACAUACAGUUAAAAAAGACUUACAUCGUGUGACUAACAUAUUACAGUCCGUAUAACUUAGUGUACAUGGAGUUAUAUUUGUACAUAAAUAAUGUCGUUGUCUUAAAGUCAAAGUAAAGAGAUGUGAAUCAUUAAUCAUAUUCAUAAGCGUAAUAAUAGGAUUUGGUGUACGAGUAAUGUGUGAUUUAUAACACAUUAUGAAUGGUAAUAUAUAUUUAUGCUGUUGUUUAUGUACAUACUAUUCAUGAAGUAUUGCAAAUUAGGGUAUUUGAUGCAUAAUUGGUAGGAGCAGAAGUAAUGGAUUGCAACAAAUUGGCAGAAGAUGGGACCCCUGAGUUAAGAAUAGAGUUCAACGGUGAAGAGGAUGCGUACAAGUUUUAUAACAAAUAUGCCUUUAAAAUGAAUUUUAGUGUACGCAAAGACUAUUUAAAUAAAGAUAAAGACGGCGUGACCACGUCUAGGAGAUAUAGUUGCUGCAAGAAAGGUGUGAAACGCAAGUACGAAGGUGAUGUGAUGCCAAAGAGGGCAUGAGUGCCGACGAAAACAGAGUGUGGAACUAAAAUGGUUAUCGUGUUGUUUAGAGAGACCAUGAAGUACCGUGUGCAUAACCUUGUCUUAGAGUAUAACCAUGAGUUUCACAUUAAAACUGGCGAGUCAACAACUAUGAUUAUAUUAAGACAACAAGAUGUGGAGUUUGUGGUCAUGAGGUAUAAUGGAGGAUCUGAAAGAAUAGUGGUAUUCAAUCGGAAUGAUCUAAAUGUACGCUGUAGUUGCAAAAAAUAUGAGAAUGAAGAAAUUUUGUGUAGGCACGCGUUGAAGGUGUUUGAUACCAUGGGCAUAAAGACAAUUCCUCCUAAAUAUGUUAAGAGGUGAUGGCCAUGGCUUUAGCUUUUAUUUAGAUGUUUCUAACGGCAUAAUUAGUUACAUGGAUGUUACAUUAUGUGAUAAUUUUGUUACGCCUGACAUACCUAUUUGGUCUGUCUUAUACAAUGUAGGAGCUAUUCAAAACUCAUAGACGCAUUCAAGGAGCCAGUCAAUGAAUGGUCCUCCAAACGCCGUUGCUCCCGAAAUCGAGAAAAGUGAAAUGGUAUGCAUACAUUUAGUUAAAAAAAUAAAGACGUUGUUGUUCGUAUCAUAAAACUACUUUUUGAUUAUUGUAAUGGUGGACACCUGAACGCUUCAACGCAGGUAUAUUAUGUAGUUAACGUAUGCUCGCUUCUAUGACAUAUUAUUUUGUAUUAUCUGAAGGUCCACCAUUUGGUUAAUCAGGAGCCUCCUGCAACAGUCCCUACAGAAUGGAUGCACCCAAAUUUUCUAUUUUUUUCAAACAAAACUCCGUCAGAGAUAUCUUAAUGGUUUGAUAUAUAAUUUUUUUUAUAAUGUCUAGCCCAAUUUAGCUUUUGAAGUGAGCAAUAUAUGCACUGAUAAUGAUUUAUUGACAGUUGAAUAGUUAUAUUAUAUAAUGUAGGAGGAGUGUGCGACAAUUUCAACACACUAUGAUGUUGAUGCAUAAAAUGUAUUUUCACCAUCACCGCAAUGACAAACUUUUAUCGUUACAUCAUAUAUUUAUGUAGUAUUGUUAAUUGGAUAUCUUGGACAUUGUAUAUUAUUAACCGUAUGUUCCAUUACGUGUAUUUAGUUUCGAUUAUCCAUUCACCAAGUUGACCUCAUUUAUUGAUGUUAGUACUUCUCUGUUGAAGAUAUUGUUCAGUUUCAAUCGCUUCCCUAUUAUCAGUUUCUUUUAAUUUACAAUGUUGAAAUGAAUUAGUGCAUGUUGACUGUAACUGACUAGAUUUUUUUUUAUUUUCAUACAUUAGUUAUCUUGAACGAGAUUUGCGGUGUUUUUCGAAGAACAUUUGUUAUUGGACCUCCAUGUCGGCCUGGUUGAAAAUGCUGCAUAUCUACAUUACAAGCAGUUAAUAAGCUAGUACAAGUUAUUCAUAUGCCUGGACAGACAUCUUCAAUGUUUUACUCUGUUGAAACUUAGACAAGUGGGUUACAAUUGUAAUCAUGUCCAGUGUUAGUAGUCAUCAAUUAUUUUGUAAUGGGUUGUAUAAAGUUGUUAAGAAAUUAUAAAGUUGACUGAAAAUUAACAUUUUUACAAUACCAUUAAACGUGCUUCUUUAUGAUUAUGAUAUUUUUCAUAGAAAACCACAACAAAUGACUGUCGUGAUAUAUGCAUUCGUGAUAUGUCGUGAUAUAUGCGCUCGUGAUAUACCACAAAAUGGUCCUGCUUGCUUCAACAAAAAAAGGUAUGCGUUCGUAAUAAAAGUAAUAUUUAGAAGCAAAUAUUAUGUAAAGAAAGUUGUUGUAUUAAGAGAGUAGAUGUCCUAAAAUCUAAACUUAAAUUUUGGACGGAAUUACCACGUAAUUGUAACAUUCACAAACAUUCAACUUAAUUGGCUUUAACGUUUAGGGUAAAGUGGUCAUGGUAAAAGGUCAAUUUAGAAACAAAUAACAACUAUAAUUACUUAGUUUGCAUUAAAAAGUAGUCAUGGACUUUUUUAUACCAAAUCAUGGCCAUUCAUUCAUGACCACUCUAUCUUCUUGAGUGGUAAUAUACGGUGUUAGAAGAUGUAAAUUAGCAACUAAUAUUGGCUGUGAAAAUGAGUACGUAUGAAAUCCCAGUCGAUUUUGUUGUUAAAAAUACAGAAAUGCCAGUAUAACUAAGGCCGCAUAUGUUUUGAUCUCUACUAUGAUAAUAAUGCAAACAAAUUUUAUACAGCUAUGUUUGUUAGUCGACAUGUUCGGGUCGAUGUUGUAUAACAAUGCAUGUGUACUAACUUUAUAUGUGCUCUAUGUAACAAAUUUUGAACUACGAAAGCUAUUCUUGGGUCCAAAAGUGACAUGUAUGGAUCCAUACUGGAUCCAAAUUUAUAUGUGGUCUGCUGUACGGACCUCAUACUUUAUAUGUGUUCUGUUGUAUGGAUCACACUGUAACUGCUAAAAUAACUAUUUUGUAACAGUUUUCAAACACACUGUGACUUUUCAAUAACUAUUUUGUAAUAACCUACAAACGCACUGUAACAUGCUAUCAUCAAAUAUGCAGUUUUGUAUUAAUUUUCAAUCUCUAACUUCCCAAUUAAGUAUUUUGUAGCAGUCUUCAAUAACAUUCAACUUUCCAAUAACUAUUUUAUAACAAUUUACAAACACUUCGUAACUAACAGUCUUCAAAUAUGGAGUUUUGUAUUAAUUUUCAAACUGUAACAUCCCAGAUAACUAUUUUGUAAUAGUUUUCGAACACACUGUAACUUUCUAAUAACUAUUUUGUAACAACCUAUAAACACACUGUCAACAAAUAGUCAAAUACGGAGUUUUGUAUUAAUUUUCAAUCUGUAACUUUCCAAAUAAUUUUUUUGGUAACAGUUUUCAAACACACUGUAACUUUUCAAUAACUAUUUUAUAACAGUUUUUAAACACAAUGUAACUAACAAUUUUUCAAACACACUGUAACUUUCCAAUUGACUUAACAUGACAUUAGGCUUAUCUGGAUGUAACUUGAAUAAAGUCACACUUAAUUAUUAUGCUCAAUUAAGUUUGUCAGGUCCGCUUCGUAUGCAGCUGACAUUGGUGUGUUAUGACAGUAUGCCUACUAACAGCAAUGUUAUACAGCUUAUUUAGCUCAGCCUGUAGUUACAUGACGACAUUACCAAUAAUUGCCCAGUGGCCUGUUUUCUUAAGAAGAUCUUAUUACGAUUUGCACUUUGGCCCCUGAUCGUUGGAGUAGUUUCACUGUGGCCCAGAACAUUUUAAAUUUCGAUCACUUAGGUUCUUAAUUAAUUACAUUUUUGUCCCUUAAUUUUAUCUUUCAUUUAAUUUUGACCCCUAAACUUUGAAAAAAUAUAAUUUUAUCCCCAAAAGUUUCUUCAAUUUUUGCAAUUCAGUCCCUGGUGAAUUUUGACUCUCUUUUAUUAUGAUUGUUUCUUUUCUUUAAUAGUUAAUUAUAUUACUUUUGAGUAUAUUUAACUUGUAAUUUUUAGACGUUCUUAAAUUUCUGUACCUUUGACAUGUUAAGGUGAAUUUAGUACUUUUAUUGUUAUUAUUAUUAUUGUUUUUUUUUCAAUUAAAUUGGUGCCAUGAUCCUUUUGUUCAUUUUGAGUAUAAAUAGGGUAAUUCGACUCCAUUUAGUCACCACUUCAAAAGGGAGGUACCUCUAUUAUUAUUUCAAUAUCAAUUAUGUGCUCUUAUGCGUUCCUAUGUGUUUACUUUUUUUUAUGUGCUUUAUUUAUUUGAUUUAAAUGUUCAUUCAAAUUUCCUUAUAUUUGUUUUAGUUAAUUUUUUUUAUAAUUAUUUGAGAAGCAUUUAAAUACCUCAAAAAUGUAAUAGAUAGGAUUAUUAUAUUUGUUUUAUUAUAUUUUCCCCUUUUUAGAUUGUAAUUAGGUUCGCUGUUGUAAUAGAUAGGGUAGAUAAGAUUUUAUUUAUUUUCCCAUUUUAGGUUGUAGUUAGUCUCCCCGAUGUAGUAAAUAGGUUAUGUGUUUAUGUGGUUUAUGUGUUAUAUGCUUUAUCCGUUUUUUUUAGGAUUUUUGCAUUUAGAUAUUAUGUUUGCGUGUUACGUGCUAUAUGUUUUUAUGUGUUUAUUUGUUUUAAUUUAUGCCUCAUCUGUUUUACUAUGUAUUAUUAAUGCAUGGCGUCACCACACUAGUUCAACGUUAGUUGUGGCUUUUCCCUCCGCUUACUUGCUAGUCCAACGCUAGUAAGGUUUUUUUUAGAAAUGUGCUAGUCCAAUGCUAGACCCUUAUAUCAUUCGUGCGUUAGAUUCAUUCUUGUGUGAUAUUCAUUACAUUUUCAUGCAUAUUUUAUAUUUUUAGGAUCUUUUCUCGUUUGCAUGAUAUUGUCUAUAUAUUAUCCUCAAUCCUUUACCCUCUAUAUGUGUUAAUUAUAUCAUUUAAAAUUGCAUUUCAUUUAAACUAGAUCAUUUGCUUGUCUAUGUUAGGAAAAUUAUUCUUUGAACAUGGGAAAUGGGUGAUUAUAACUUUUUAGUUUAAAUACCCCAUUAAUCCCUAUAUAAGAAAAUUAUGUCACGAGUUUUUGCCUCCCGCACCCCUUACAUUGCAUUCCCUUUUUCUUUGAUCACUUAUAUCUAUGUAUAUAAUUUAAUUUCUUUUUUUUUCUUUUAAUUUCAUCAUUCGUAUACAUGUGACACUUUCAACGAAUCAUUUUGGCCUUCGCAAUUAAUGCGAUUGGUUCAAUUAAACCCUUGAAUGAACAUUUUGCCAUUUUCAAUUUUUUUUAGAUUUGCAUCCAUGUAGGAAACAUCCAAACAUGAUAAAAUUAAUGGUUAGAUUAGGAAAAUUUUGACUAAACUUCGCAACUAGCUUAGACUAGGUUGAAAGGGUGCCUUAGGUUUGAGUUGAUCGAACUUUUGCCUUCCCUUUCUUCAAUCGUGACUCCCGAAUCCAUUUUCUCUUGUUUUUUAAAGAUCUAGAGUUGUCAAAAAGGGUUUCAUCUUAUUUAUUUUUAUUUUUGUCAAAAAAUAUUUUCUUUGUGGUGACUUGGUACACCCAAACUCAAUACCAAGUGGCGACUCCUAUUUUUUCUUAAAAACUCUUUUAGACUAAAUUUUGGACCCAAAUUGUUGCAUUUUUUUAAAGUCCCAUUUUAGGUCAUUUUAACUUAUUUUUAAAUGAAAAUCAUAUCUUUUAUAAAUACCUUUUAUUCUUAUUUUUCCAUUGCGAAAAACGGGGCGCGACAUUAAGUAGAGGAACUAAGGGAGGUCAGUGUAAUUUUCAAAAAUUGGGGGGAGCUGAGUGAAAUUGUCAGAAAUCUCAAGGGAGAUUUCUGAAAUUAUCCCAAAGAAAAUGAACAUGGCAACAAUCUUAGUUAAAUUAGUUUUAAAAAAUAAAAAAGGCAAGGGAUGACAGUAGUUGUCGCAAGAAGAAGAAGAAGAGAUGGAGUUGAUUUUUUAAAGGAGAAAAAUAUUUUAAUCCUUUUGGCCAAAUUGAAUCAAAAAAGGGAAGGAAAAUUUAGCUAAAAUGAGCAAAAUUUCAGUUGUAAAAAAUGUAGGCAAUACAUGUAUCAAAAAGAUAUGCUACUAUAGUAACUUGGCUUUCUUUUUUAUACAAGAAUACAAGGUAGACUAGUAAGGCUUGGCUAUGCUACGCACAGCCAGGUCCCACCUUGAAGUGUUUAAGGGUAGCAAAAUUUGAAGGAAUGUUUCUGAAUUGAGUGUCAUGUGUAAAUGUAUAUGUGAAGUAUGUAUAUUACUAAAAUGGAGAGAAAUUGGAUUAUUAGCAUUUAAAAUGAACUUACUUUACCACUUAAUAUAUUAUAUGAUUUUCUUGUGAAUUUUUUUAAUUCAUUAAUAUUAAUAUUUAGCAGCAUUUUAAAAUAUUUUAAAAUAUUUAGCAUAAUUUAAACUUGUAUAAACCAACUGAAAUUACCGCCAAAUAUAAUAUGAACUUUUCCUAUCAAUUUUAUUUUAAUUCAUCUAUGAAGGCAAUGAAACAGGAACAACAGUGCAUGAUCUAUACACUGAACUUUUGAAAUUUUGGUCUUGGACUUGCACAUUACAGUUUGCUAGUAUUGAUUGACAUAAAAAUCUGUUAUUACAUCCUUUAUCAGCUGAGUGAAGAAUUUUAUUAACUUGUCUAAUUGAUUUUUUUCUUUGUUUUGACUAUCAAAAUUUAGCUGAUAAUGAAACAGACAUUCAAUUAGCUUAGCUAUCCAUCAAAGAAAUUAGCAAGCAUCUUCAACAUGAAAAUUUAAAAAUGAUCACAAAAAUAGAAAAACAAAUCUAAAUAGACUAAUCAAUUUCAAAGUUCAUUGCCAGAGUUUACAAUGAUAAGUCACACAGUAUAUACGAUUCAAUAGUAAGUAGCUACCAGUAGUUUACUUACGAAACUUGUAAAUAUCAAGUAAACUUAACCAGCAUUUUAUCAAACAUUAUGUAGGCUAGUUAUGAGUAAUGUGACUAACCUAAAGUAAAGUGCUGGACAAAGUAAAAUCUUGAAUGCUGAAGGCAAUGCUGCAAAAUCAAAACACAAAACAUGUAAAAGCAUCUAUAUCUUACUACAAUAAGAUAUAAAUGCAUAGAGAUGGUGAAGAAAAAGCUAAGAAAAAUUGUAUUACCAAAUGAUGAGAAAGCAAGAAAGUGAAGGAAGCUUUCUUUCUACUAUGUGGGGACGAGAAAUAAAACAGAAUAACAGUUGGUAGUGUAUGUAGCAGUGUGUACUAUACUAUUCAAGGUUUGUUUGUUGAUAAUAAUUUCAUCUAAAAAAGUAGUCUAUGAAAGCUAAACUAAUGUAGUACUUUGUAUUUCAAUCUAAUGGUUAUGAAAAGAUAAAGUACAACUGACAAUUCAUAAAAGGUUGACAUUCUUGUGAAGGACAACCUAACUCUAAGGAAAAAAGUAAUUGUCUAAUCUAAUUAGAUAAUUGUCAAAAAGUGGGGUAGGUGAAGAAUGCUUGCAUUAUUUGACUUAUUACAAGCAAAGGAGAGGAAAAACAGGAGAACCAAACAAUCUGUAAGCUUCCUUGUUGAAUAAUCUAAUAAUUCAACGGCUAAGAAAAACGUUUUUCUCUCCAAAUUAGAUAGAACUUAUAAUCAAUAGCUUUAUUGAAUAAUCUAAUAAUCUGAUGGCAAAAAAAUAAUGACAAAAAUAAAUGCAAAUCUAACGGCUACCAUUAAAACAAAAAAAAUAGAAGAGCAUUUUAAUGAAAUAUAAUAAAUAUAUAUAUUUCUCAUGUAGACGUUAAUGCAUUCCUUUGAUUAAUAAAGGAAAAAAUUUAUAGUAAUAAAAAGCAAAUAUUAACAUAUAAAUGAAAUAAAAUAAAUUUGAUAACAAAAAUAUAUAAUAUCUUAAGUGGCAAUGUCAGUUCAUUUGUAUAACCUUAAAUGCUAAUAGAAAUAUGAAUAAACAUAAGUCAAAAGUUACCAAAUAUUUCAAUAUGAAAAAAUUAAAAUAAAAUUGAAACAGAAAAAUGCACGUUGCAUUAAGUAGCGAUAAUAAUCUUUUUCUUUAUAAUAAGAUGGAAUUAGUUUUAAAUAAUCUUUUGCAUUAAAUUAACAAAAUAGCAAAAAAUAAAAAAAAUAUAACAUUUUGAAAAGAUCAAUGUAAUUGUAUAAUUUUUAGCAAGUGAAACUUAUUUUGUCAAAUAUAAUUUUAAAUGACAAUUCACAUUGAAAUAAAUAUAAAUUCAAAUAAUAAUGAUAAUGAUAAUAAUAUUGUAGUUCGAUUACAUUUGACCAAGACAUAAGUUAUUUUGUCAAAUAUAAUUUCAAAUGAUAAUGUAAAUAGUAAUAAAUGUAAAUUCUAAUUGAAUUAUAUCUAUCCAAAGUGUAAAGAUUGAAAUAAUUCAACCUUAUAAAGGAAUGCCAAAUCCAGUCCAAUUUAGGUCAUUGAGCAAUGAAAAUUGCUACAAUAACUUUAGACAUUCAGCAAAUCCAAAGAGAAAGAAAAAAUAAAUAAAAGCUCAAAAUUUACCUAUAGUGCCACGUGUCAUUAAGGAAAGUUGUUACAGUAAAUUUUAGAUGACUUUUAUGUCUCAUGUUUAGGACUUGAUUUGUACAAUAAUGUGUACAAUUUUUGUGGAAAUUGUUUCCUGUGCAAUAGUGAAGUUACAUGUGAUUUUGACUAAUUGGACAGGAAAAGCACUUUAUGAUUGUGGGAAAAACUUACAUGUGAUCUUAAAAAUUUUUAUUUUACAACAUAGUGUAUGAUAUGGUCAACAUUUGUGCAACUAUAUAAAUAUUUGGGAUUGAGUUGGAUUUGAAUUGACUUUAAUGUGUCAUAUUACGGCUUAUAUAGUUGAACUAAAAUGAGUUUUUGAAUAAGGCAUUCAAAUAUUGUUUGUUCAUGGUUCAGUGUUGAAACCUUUUAUUUUAUGGAUUAAUCUUUCCUACACACAUUGUCAACAUUGAAUAAAUGACAACUAUGCAAAAUUUGAAUUUGAAAUUCAACUUUUGCAUACAUGUCAUGAAUCAAACGGUGAUAGUGUAUACACUGUCAAUGUAUGUAAAAUUUACUCUUAUUUUAUAUAUACAAUAUCCAUUUUUUUAAGUAAUGACUUGAAAGUUGGGAAAAGUGUCCAAUUCAACGUGUUACAGUAAAUAAUAUAGAGUAAAUCUUUCCUACACUGACGGUGUAUACACUAUCAUCGUUGGAUUUAUGACAUGUGCGCAAAAGUUGAAUUUCAAAUUCAAAUUUUACAUAGUUGUCAUUCAUCCAAUGCUAAUAAUGUAUACACUAUCAGUGUAGGAAAGAUUAAUCCAAUAAUAUAAGAGGGAAAAAAUUCAAAGAACCUUCAAUCUAGAAGCGGCUUUUAUAUUCUUCAAAACACAUUUCUGCAGUUGUUUCCUUAAAAAUCAGGUUGUCGAUUUGUAUUCCAAUGUAUUCCAGUAUAUAUGGAGUAACAUGACUGAGACAUUCUUGUCAAUUUUUUUUUUUAAAUGUUACAUAUUUUUCAUUUAAAAUUUAGAUCGUAAAAAUAUACUAUCUAAUUCUCUCAAACUUAAAAUUGUUUUCUUCCCUUAUCUUAUAAUUAAGGCAUUACUGUCACACCCAAUUUUCUAAAGUCCGGAUAGAUAUCUAGAAUUUUAUAUGUUUAAAAAUAAUAUUGUAAUUUUUGUAGAUUUACAACUCUUAAAAUCACAACGUGUGUAAUAUUACCAGAUUCUUUUGUCAAAAGCCGGCUAUGCUGACAUAUAUCCUACUUUAAGGAAGAGUCUUAAGUACAUUACUUGUCUUUAUUUUAUUACUAAUUUUCUUUUAGUUUAAUUUACAGGAAAAGGAGUUUUCAAUAGUUAUAAAUUUACUGGGAGGCUGCAAUGGAGCUUCGAGAAACGCACAACUCUAAAGCAUCUUGUCUUUGUUAUGGAAUGUAUUUUUUUAACUCCUAUCAACAACUACUCUUAGAGUAUAUUGCACACAGAUAUUAUUGCAACGAAGGCUAAAGCUAUAAUUUGUGGUGAUGACAAAAUAUGUAACAUGUACCGUGUUUAGGGCCAUAUUUGCAUACAUUAAUACAUUCUAUGAACAUACACUCAAUGAACUUAACAUCAUGUAACUUAUACUCUAUGAACUUGAUAUGAUUGCCACACUUGAUUAUAUUGUCUAGGGCCAAAUUUACACAAUUUUUUGUACUUGCAUCUUAUAAAUUCUUAUCUUUUAUGAUUUAAGCAUGAGAAAAUAUCUUUUUUUUUGGGGAAAACUAAAAGCAAAAGUUAUUGAUGUUCUUACAUAAAUCAUUCGCUAGAAACUUGCUCGACAAGAACUUGCAAAAUUUAUCAGGUUUCAGAAAUAUAUGCUUAUCUGAGAGAAUUCUUUUUUGUCUGUCGAAAACUCACUUGAAAUUAGUAAUGAAUUGUCACAAAUUUUAGACUAGGUAAGCAUGAUUAACCAUGUUAAUGAUUAAAGAUAUUAUCAAAAAGUUGCACCUUUUUUUUUUUGUUUUAUAGCGAAAACAAAGAGUAGGUUAGCACCUAAAGAAACAAGAAAGGUAAAAGUUAGAAGUUCCGAAAAUAUUUUGGAUGCAACAUAUUGGAUGACAUGUUAUAGUUAGAUGAGAUAAAGUUCACAUCUCAAUAAAACUAUAUGCCAGAAUCAGAAUAUUCACAAAGUUACAAAAGCUUCAAAGCGGAAAAUUUAACAUUACAUGGUUUUAAGAAGAAAUGAAAAGAGACAAAACAUGCACCUUUGUUUUAAGGAAAAGUUUUUAACAAGGGAAGGGUAUGAUUUAGGGAUAAUAUCAAAAACCUCCCCUGAGAUUUCUCUUAAUAUCACCUAACACUCUUAAGGUUUUCAAAAUAUCACUUACCUCCCUUACUUUUGUUAUUUGUGUAACAAAAAUUUAAAAAUUUCUAAACUACCCUUUUGUUCAUUUUGCUAAAUAAAAUACUUCUAAGACACUUUAUUCACUCAAAAAAAAUCACCAUCUAAAAACCAAUCUCUAGUAGUAUCACCAUGUCACAAAACUAUAGUUCAUAAAAAUAUAAAUUUGGAAAACAAAAAAGGUAUUUGUAAAGAAAUAUACUGGGACUAAUUUAACUCUAUAUACUUAAAAUGACUUCUUAUGAACCUUAUAUUUUUUCCCAAUUUCUUCUCAAACCCUAGCCCAAGUUUUUAAGUUGCACCAAUCAUUAUAAAAUCAACUCAAAAUAAACAAAGUAAUCACAUCCCACUCUAUUACAAUCUCAUAAAGUAAAAGAUAAAUAAAAUUCAAUUAUCUAUAAUUUAAAAAUAAAAAAUUGCAUAGUCGUCCAAGAAAAGAGUAAGAGAGAAUAUUGGAAAAGGGGGAAAGAAAAGAAAUUGUCUUUUGUUUCUUUUUAUUUUUAUAAUUUUUUUGACUUCCAUGUAUUUGAUAUGUGAAUUAUGUAUCAAGUGAGGUAAAUUUUUUCAAAAACAAGUUUUUCAAUUGCAAUGCUACAGUAAUACACAAAUCAAUUCAAAAGAUAUUUCAUCCAUACAAUAUAUCAAACAUUUCAAAAAAUAUUUAUAGUAAAAGUUUUUCAUAUACACUGCUAUAGUAAAAUUUUUCAAAAGCACCCCCAAAAACAGCUAAUCCAAAUGGAUAGUCUUUUUGUAAUUACUAAGGGAGGUAAGUAAUUUUUUAAAACCUUAGGAGUGCUAGGUGAUGUUAAGAAAAACCUUAGAGGAGGUUUCUGAUAUUAUUGCUAUGAUUUAAGGGGUUGGGAGAGAAAAAAGGAUUUGAGUCUAGACUUUAAAUUAAAAAAUCAAUUUCAAGGAAAGAAUGAAAUUGGUGAACUGAUUAAGGAAAAUGAAUUUUUUUCUUGAAUCUAUAUUCUUGUAACCAAAGAAACACAGAAUGAAGUAAAUAGUCACUUAAAUAUGAAAUAUAUUCAUAUCAAUUUUCUCAACGGUGAAAUAUUAUUAAGAAAUAUAGAAUAAGAAAAAUACGAAAUAAGAAAAAAUGGCGCUUAGAUUGGUUCAAAGUUCAAACUCAUAAAUUUAAACCUUUGUAAUUGCAUCUGCACUUCUUAAGAUACACGAAUUUCAAAGUCAAUAUUAUAAUGGGCACAUACACCCCCUAUGAUUAAGCAGUUUAAAAAAUGCACCCCUUAUAAUUUAAAAGUAUCCACUUCCACUCCUUAUACUUUAGUGAAAAAUAAGAUAAAAUGGACACUACUAGUGAAAAUUUAACCAUAUACUAUCCAAAAACGCAACUAACCAUUUGUUUAUAGUAAUUUUAGACUUUAUUAACGUUUUCCCCACAUAAAUGUUUGCACUCUAUAAAAGAAGAUCAAACGUUUGGACUCCAAUCGUGAUAAUUUGAAUCUUUGUAUAGGUUGUAAAUGUUGAUUAGAGAUAUUUAUGGAAGAAAAAUAUUAUUAAAACCUCAUAUAAUUAGAAUAAGUAACUAGUUGCACUUAUUUCGUUAGGGAUAACAUCAUAAACCUGUCCUAAGGUUUCUCUCAAUAUCAUCUAGCAUUUCUAAGAUUUUAAAAAUAUCACUUACCUCUCUUACUUUUGUUAUUUGUGUUAAAAAGUUUUUGAAAACCCUAAACUACCCUUUGCUUGCUAUAUAAAAAUACUCUUAAACCACUUUGCUUAUUUCAAGAAAACCAUCACCUAAAAUACAAGCUCUAGUAGUACUACCGCAUCACAAUGCUAUAGUCCACAAAAAUAUAAUUUUGAAAAACAAAAAAGAUAUUUGUAAAGAAAUACAUUAGCAAAAUUUAACUUUGUGCUCAAAACUAAUUUCUUAUGAGCCUUAUAUUUUUUUUCUAACUUCUUCUCAAUCGAUCCCCAAGCUUUUAAAUUGUACUGAUCAUUAAAAAAAUCAACUCAAAAUAAACAAAGAAAUCAUAUCCCAUUCUAUCACAAUCACAAAAAGUAAAAAAUAAAUAAAAUUCAAUUUACUACAAAUUAUAAAUUAAAAAUCAUAUAAUCAUCCAAAAAAAUAAAUAAGAGAAAAUGUUGGAGAAAGAUGAAUUAGAAGAAAGUGACUUUUGGUUUCUUUUUUUUUUGGAAUUUUUUGAGCUCUAUUUAUUUGAUUGGUAAAUUACGUAUUUAGUGAAGGUUAAUAUAAUCUUUUUACAAUUACUAGAGGAGGAAAGUGACAUUUUCAAAACCUGUGAGGUACCAAGUGAUAUUAUGAUAAGCUUCAAGGGAGAUUUCUGAUAUCAUCCCAUUUCAUUAUUGCAAGUUCAAAAAGUACAAUUUGUUAUUGUAGCUAAGCAUAGUUAAUGACCAAUCUUAAAUAGACAAAUCUUAAACGGACACAUUUUUGAAUUUUUAGUUUGUCCUGCUUUUAUGUCGAUUCUUCUUUACAGUCUUUAUUCCCUUCCCUGAUAAUUAUCAGGAUUCAAGUAUUUGAAACUUUCUGGAAGUUGCAGCUAUAUAAAGUAUGUCGAUUCUUAUAUCUAUCCCUGAUGCAUUAUUAAGAUUCUAAGUAUUUGAAACUUUCUGGAAGUUGCAGAAAUAUGACAUUGAGCUUCGGGUACUGUAAAAGCGUGAAUUAACAAGGUAUUCAUCUUCAAAGAAUCCGUCAUAACAAGUAGCCUAAUUGAUUUUUUUUACCAUCAUGAAAAUCCAGGUUAACUUCGCUGACAAUUCAUUUUGCAAAUUUGUUUCUUGUAAAAGCAGAUACAAAGAACAUUUAGGAGGAAAGACAAGCUGGAAGACGAACCAACUCAACUCAAAACAAGUUGAACUCAGCAGCAGCUCUUCAACCAAUAAGUCCAGGAACUACAAGCCCCAUCUAGGUUCACCAUUCAACCAUGGAUGGGAUAGAAUAUGUAUUUGGUAUUUUCCACGUACAAACAGUAUGUCAAACCAAAACAAUCACUGAGACUACAAUUCCAUAGUUAUAUAUUUCACCAAACGUUCGAAGACUUUCGACAUACUUUGGUUUCACUUUACCAAUACAAACAGGUCAUGCGGUAAAGGAAACAUGCAAUUCAGAGGGGAAAAACAGACCAAAAGGAUUUCAGAACUCAUUGAAACCCAAAAAUCAGAUUAGACAAAUCAGAGGCCUGGUUAUCAAAUUAUAGCACAAAAAAGUAGUACAAUGGUAUACAAUCAGAAGCAGAAUUAUGGAAGUAAGGCUGGCAUCUAACAAACAGUGACAGGCAGGACAAAAAGACGAGUACAACAAAUUCCAAUGCAAGCUGCACCUGCUCUGAAUGUUUAAAAUCAAUGUAACAUUCAUAAUCAAGGACCAGAAAACAGAGUUGAUGGCUGAGUAUUCCAGAACAAGAAGCUAUUGACUCCUAGUCAAGAUGAUCACCUUUAGGCAAAAAUAUUUCUUAGAACACUGAGGAAUUAAGUCACUGCAGUCUAAGCUCUUGCACGUCUUAAAUUACCAAAUAGCCUACUUGAAAUAAAACAAAACUGAAUAAACACACGAGAUUUACUAAACUUCAAAGUGAAACCAAUUA